rnacentral:lncRNA from 1 species
UUAUUGUUUCUCUUUUUAUUCUUCCAUCUAAUUAGGGUUUCUUCUUCAUAUCCAUUCUAACACCACACCACCAAUAACAUGAGGGCUAAGGUAACAACAACAUCUUCAACUCUCUCUAUCCCUUAAAAUUGUUGUUGAAAUUGAUAUAUUGUGUGAUUUCUCUAUCUUUUAAAAUUGUUGUUAAAAUUGAUAUAUUGUGUGAUUUGUUUGUUUGUUAUUUGAUUUAUACAACAGUGGAAGAAGAAGCGAAUGAGGAGAUUGAAGAGGAAGCGUCGAAAGAUGAGACAGAGAUCCAAGUAGAUUGAUCGAAAUCAAAGUUUUAUGUUUUUGUUUUUGUUUUAGAUCGGCUUAGGUAUCGGUAGAUAUAUGUAUCGGUAUCGGAGUUUUCUUUUUAGCUCGGAAACGAUUUCACCUUCGGUUGAUGAGUCGGAAUAGCUACCAAAAUAGUGGUUUUAUGUUUAUCGUAAUUUGUAUCGGAUUUUAUGGUUUUUUCGUAAUAUCGGAAGAAUCGGAUUAGUAGCUUAUGGUUAUUUGGCUUAAUGUUUGAUUUGAUUAAUUAGUUUGAUUUAGUUUUUAACUUUUUAUUAAAUAGAGAAGAUAGCAUGGCCUGAGAUUAAGAUUAGUUUCAUAAUUCCUUUAUUCAUGAUUUGCCCCUUGUAUGCGGUUUUUAUUUAAGCAAUUUUUAUCACUAGAAUUAGUCAUGCUUUCACACUAAAAACCUUCACAUGAUAGUUGCCUAUAGUUUUUAUCUGCUUGUAAAGUUGUAUGCCAUGGUCUAUUAUGGAUUGAAUGGUCUAAAAGUUUGAAGCAUGUUUCAAACUUCUGAUGUACUUAGUCCGAUAUGGUCAUGGGAAUAUAGGAAUGUUAUGGUAGUUCUUGUUGUUUCCGGCUUGCUUGUUAAAUGUUGGUUUAUUGCAUUUUGUUGUUGUUGUAGAAGACACAAUAUUGUAGUGCCUGUUUAGGCUGUAUCAUAAUGCAGGCAUACAUUAUCUGAGCCUUUCUGCAAGCCUUACUCUUUGCCAUCAUAGAGUUUGUAUUUUAUGUUUCCUGUUAGGUUUGAGGCACAUUCGCUGAUAACACCUUGAGUUGGCAUACUGCCCUACCAUGUCAAGGUUUGGAAAUAAAGAAAACCUUUAAGCAUGUUUUUGUUUCUAAAUGUUGCAUUGUACCGUUUUUGUAUAGAGGAGUAAGGAGGUGCAGUUUUUACUUCACCGAUGUGCCUAUUCUUACUCCGGGAGUACUGUUAAUUUCUAUUACUUGUGAUGCUGGCAAACAUGCCUUGUUAGUUGUUACAAUGGAUUGGAUCCAUCUGUGAUUAAAUGUGAUUUGUUAAGCUAUGGAUGGGCAGAAUUGGUUGUCAUUUGGUUUGCUAAAAUGCUAAGUACUGUACUUUAAACAGUUCCUAAGAGCAAUCCCAAUGGGAGGGCAGUUUGGUGCCCUCCACGUAGGUGUAGGUUUGGGGAUGACUCUAGUUAUUAGGUGGUAAACAUUUGUAUUUUUGCAACCCAACCAACCCAACAAAGCAGGGCCUAUAGCAACUUAGAGCAUUCCCAAUGGAGGGUGGAUAAAUCCACCUCUACGUAGGUGCCACGUAGGUCCACCUAGGCAAAAUCCACCUCAAAGAGAGAGGUGUAUUUGCACUUGGGUGGUAGUUUCCCAACGCAGAGUGGACUCUUUGGUAUAGAAAGUGGAUUUUUUUAAAAAUCCGGACGGCAUGUCACAUGUCGUCCCAUUUUUUUUUGCAAAAAAAUAGGGAGACGGCAUGUCACAUGCCGUCCGAGAGUCCAAAAUUUUAAAACACUACUUAAAACUUAAAAAAACAAACGGAUGCCGUCCGAGAGUCCAAAAAUUUUAAAACACUACUUAAAACUUAAAAAAACAAACGGACGGCAUGUAAGGAUUUAUCCACCUUCAAAUCCACCUUCAAAUCCACCUUCAAAUCCACCUUCAAAUCCACCUGUGGGCAGCCCACCUCCGAAAUCCACCUCCCCUUGGGAAGCUCUUUUUGUCUACAAGGUGGAUUUAUCCACCCCACCUCCAAAAUCCACCUUGCAUUGGGAAUGCUCUUAUGUGUUUCAUUUUGAUGAAUAGGUCUAAUAACAGUUGGGUUUUUAUACUUUUUAUGUUUCUCUAGCCAGUCUUAUUCGCAGUCUUAAGUGGCCAUUGUCUUGUGUGCCAGAGUAGCACACUGCGUGAAUAACCUUGAGAUGAUAGUGGGAGCAUAUGCACUGGGGUACAACAGUAAAUCUUUUUAUUUGAAUGCACAAUGUAGCUUAGGACACAAUCAACUCACUUUAUGUCUCUAUCCAUAGUCGUGCAAUUGUGUAUACGGAAUAAUUCUAUGCUUACAAACUUUUUUCACAAACUACCUCCACAAACUGAUGGGGAUUCAACCGAUAAAUAAAUCAGAAUUUUCUUAUGUACUCUUUUUUAGUUCUUUCCAUGAAACCGAAACUCUUUUGCAAGCAUCUCUCUUCUCUCUUUUUUUUUUUUUUUUUUUUUGUUAUUUUUUUAAUUAUAAUUAAUAAACUCAACGAAUUACACAAAAGUAGAGGACAAACGCGCUACAAACUGCGCGGAAAGUCCAUUCUGGAUAGCAAACUCGAUUCUCCUAAAUACAUAUUCGUUCAAACCUGCAGUCAUCACGUUACUUUUUUUUUGUGUGGAGUUAUUUUAUUUCUCACUAGUCCAGAAUUUGAAAAUAAAUAUCUUAUUAAUCCCAUAAUCAAUUUUAUACGAUAUUAUUAAAUCUUUCAUUGGUAUAAUAAAGGAAGAAGAUGAUUUUAUCUCGAAAACUUGUGAUAAAAGGAAAGAACAAUGGGUGCUUAGGGGUAAUUUACCUCUUUAAUUAUUUCAUUAACUCUACCCUAACUGGUGCUUAGGGGUAAUUUAUAAAUCUCACUAAUAAAUUUUUUUUAUUCUUCACACAAUUAGGAAAAUCCUUUUGAUUUUGAUUCAUUCCUAAAACAAUAUUCAUAUUAACAACCAAUUUUUUUUUUCAAUUUCCUCUAGUUUUACUACUAUUUAUAUCUAAAAUUUUAAAAAUAUUGACAAUGAUUAUUCAAUUAUUCAUUAAAAUAAAAAAUUGACAGAAGAUUGAUCAUGUUUAUUUUGCAAGAGUUCCCAUUCCUGAUGCACAAUGAUUUUCGAGUCUAUACUGUUAUAAUCUUAUGAGUUCCUUAUAUAGUGGGGAAAAAAAAAGAAUGAGACAGAGUAAGAAUCAAAACAUAACUUGUUAGAUAUUUUGUAUAUUCUUUAUUUUCUUAUUUGUAGGUGGAUAUACAAAUUUGUAAAGAUAUUAAUUAAUUAUUGAUAACAACUGUAUUUAUAUAUGUAUGGUUAUUGAGGAUAAUUAAGUAAACUUUGAAAAUAAUCAUUGGCAAGAUCAAUUUUGCUCUUGGCAAAAUCUGGAACCUUAAUAUUAGACAAACUACUAAACAAAAGAUUUUUGAAAAUUUGAAGAAGAGAAUGCAUGUAAUAUAUAUUAGAAUUUACAGUUUUAGUUUGCUAUAAUUUGAGUAAGAGUGAAAGCUUGGGUGAGAGAGAGAGAGGGAAAAAAAGUGUGUUUUUUUUUUUUGUGAUGAGAUCUGACGCAAAAUUUUUAAUUACGUGGACAAACCACCUCAGUUGACACGUUUGUUUGUAGAAGAAGUUCGUGGGGUUUCUUAGUGAGAGCAUUCCCAAUGGUAAAAGGCUUUUAGGGGUGCCACAUAAGAGAGAGGGAGAAGGUUUUUAGGAUAGACUUGAUAUUAAAAGUAAUUUAUGGUUUUAGAGUUGCCAAUGGUUGAGUGUUAAAAGCUUAAAAUUUCACUUUCCCAAAGACAUGAUGGCUGUGCUUGUUUCCCCGGAAGUUAUGGGGAAACGAAAACGGAAAGAUUUUAAAUUUUAAGAAAGGUAACAAAUUUUCAAAACUUUCCAUUUAUAACCAGGAUUGUUGCUUGAUUACCAGAUCAAUAAAAAAGGAAAAAAAAGACGUGGCGAGAUUAUAAGCUUUGGGGACCGGUGGGGACCAUAAAUUAGAGACGUGAUUUUCUGUUUUGCAUAGAUUUCCUGGUUUAUCAAAACUGCAAUUUUUGCUGACGUGUUUUACAUUUUAAAAACCUUUUUACAGUGGGACCCAUAUCAACUGAAAUCACCAAGCACCUGGAAAAACAAAAAAUCAGCAAAUCGCUGACGUGGUUUUCCAUUCCAGUUUUUUUCCUAGAGAACAAGCACGGCCGAUGUAUAAAAUUUAACUUUGAAUUAACUAACUAAUCCUAUGUGGCACUUUUAACUCUCGGCAAAUUUGCCAAGGAGUUAAAAGUAUUUUGUUUGAAAAAUGUGUUAAUAUCAACCAUUGGCAAAAGUUUUUUACUAAAAGUUCUUAAAAGGAAUUUAAAACCUACCGUUGGGAAUGCUCUGAGUGUAGAAUUACUCAAUAUUGAGCGAGUAUGCAAGGAUAACACGUGUUGUUUUUGAAAGUCACAGUGGAUUGUUUGAUGCUUAGAUAUCUCUUUUUCGACACCUUAAAUACUCAAGUUGAUUAUUAGAUAUCUCAUUGUUUUGGAAUUCAUCAGUGGUCCUACCUCAAGACGUUCCUUGUUGUAAUAUUGUACUUGAAAAUGAAGCCACGAAGGGAUAUACGUUGUAUAUCUAUUUUCUAUAGUGACUUUGAGACAAAAUUUCCUAAACUUUUUGAAAACUAUCUUUAAUUUUAAAUGUCAGAUUAGAUGAAUGAAAAUGUGCAUAAUUGACCAACGACAUCUUUUUGGUUAUGAAUCUGAGUUUUAUUCCAUAUCAAAUUAAUGACAGGCCCAUAUACACGUCGAACAGAUUCGCAUACACUAAUUUACAUUGAUAAGGUGUCUUUUUUAUUAAAAAAUUAUUUUCUAUUCCAUCUCUUUGUAAUACAUUGAUCUUAUUGUUUAUUGUUUGGUAAUUUGUUUUUUCAGUAUUUUGAGUAUAGAGGAGUUACCUUAAUCUACUACCUUUGGAGUAGCUCGGCCCCGCUGAGGGGUUGGGCCACGUCUGCACCCUGCUAGUUCAGAUGCAAGCCUUUAUUUCAAAGGUUGUCUUUGCAUUCUUCUUUUUUGAACUGGCAGGAGUGCAGGUGUUGAAACCCGGGUUUGACUGAAUUGGAAAAUUAUCCUUCUGAAUCUUCCUGCUCCAUUUUGUCAAUCCCGGUUGAGUGGAUGUGUCUUUCAUCCACAUGGUUCUUGCAUUUGAAUUGCUUGGCCAAGCUCUUUGACAGAGCCUGAUGAUAACGAAAAAAAUGAAAAGACUUGCCUUGACUUGGAAGUAUUGCCGUGGUUGUAAUUAAGGUAUGUGCCAAAGUUUUCAUAGCCUCUUUUUGCAUUACCUUCUUUUGUUAUCAGUUUUGGUUUUAAUCGCAAGCAUGUUGAUGGAUUUGAUGCUAUUCAUUUUCAGUGACUAGGUACUGCUUAGUCUCUCUGACGCUGCACAUGGACAUUAUACAACUAAUGGAGAUUCGUGCACUUUGAGCUUUGGUGCCUUGGUGGAAUACGUGUUACUACCAGAUCUUUGAGCUUUAAGAUGAAUACUUGAUUGCUAUUGGAAUUUUUGACCUAAAUACAUAUUCCAUGGAAAUUUAUGUGCUGCCUCACCUUUAUAUAUAACUUCCUAGACUCCUAGCAUAAAGAUUUGGAACCUGAAUAGAACAUUGUGUAUUUAUUUGUAUGAUCCCAUCAAUGGCAGCUACUUCAAAAUUGCAGUAUGACUUAGUUCCGUGUUUUUUUUUUCACAAUGUUUUGUUUGCCAAAUUGUUGUCGCAAAUGACAGAACUACUUAAAAGUCGUUGCAAGGUGUCAUUUUGAUUUGAUUAUUUAUUGUUUUUUACAUGGAAAUGGUAGUGGGUUCUUCUGCAGAGUUUGUUGUAGAUGGCUAUAGUAUAAAAUGUGCAGUGGAAGUAUCUGUUGUGCGUAGUGGAAACUUAAACACAACUAAUGAUGAUUGAACUAGUGUAUGAAAUAAAAUAAAACGAUAAAAUCAAACGAACAACCACACAGGACACAAGAUUUACAUGGUUCGGCAAUAUGUCUAUAUCCAUGGGGAGAAAGGAUAAUGUUUUUCUUAUAAAGAUAAGAGCUAAUUAGUGAUACCCCCCGGAAUUCAAGGCAAAAAAAGGAACCCCCCCCCCCCCCCCCCCCCCCCAACUCCAAAAAGAUUUGUGUUACCCCCCCCAAAUUAUUUUCUGGUGAAAAAUAGACUUGAACUGCCAUAAAUACCCUUAUGCCACAUCAGACUUUUAAUUUGACCUAAACCAUUGCUGACGUGGCAUAGAUAAGAUAUUAUGGGCUGGGUUUAGAUAUGGUAUAGAUAAGAUAUUAUGGGCUGGGUUUACGCACAGACCCCUGUGCGUGCAUAUUCACAUAGUACAGAUUAAGUGGACAAGGGCCAAGUGAAGCAAUGGGUUAGCUAAAAGGUGAACAAAAAUGAAGAAAGUAUGCACUAGUCGGGGAUUUCGGGCAACUCUUUUUGUUAUUAGUAUUCCAGGUAUACAGAGAACCUGAAAUUAUGGUAGGUGAGUGUGUCAGUGGUGCAUGACUCUGCUAUGUCAAAAUAGAAACCCAUAGGCACGACUGAUAAGUUCCUAAAAACAAAUACUAAAACAACCCAUAAGUAAUAAUAAGUAAAAAACACACGAUAUUUUUAAAGUAGUAAAAUCCAAUAUGGGAAACGUUCAUGGUUGUUCUCGCGAUAAAAAAUAAUUCUACUAGAUGAAAAAGAUAUACAAACUAGGGAUGAGCACGGUUUGGUCGGUUUUGACCAAAACCGAAGCCAAACAGCCUAACAGGUGUUUUGGAAUAAACACAAUCGAAAUCAAACGUGUUGUUUCCCAAAAUCGAACCGAACCGAUCAAAAUAUGUAAAAACCGAAACCGAACCGAACACGUAGUUCAGUUCGGUUAACCGAAUCAAAACCGAACACCUUUUAAGUUGGGCUGAAUUAACUUGGGCUUAAGUAUAAAGACUAACAUGGGCUGAAUUAACUUGGGCUAAAGUGCUAAACUAAAGACUAAUAUGUUUGGUUCGGUUUUAGGUGUUGAAAAUUUUCUAAAACCGCAACCAAACACCCUAACAGGUGUUUUGUAAAAUUUCAAACACCAGCCAAACACUUAAACACCUAAACACCUUCAAAAGUGUUCAGUUCGGUUGUGUUCGGUUCGGUUCUUCGGUUUUGGUCUGGUUUUGUUUAGCCUUAGUACAAACCUAUCAACUACCUGCAAUCACUGUGAAUUGACACUACUUGUUAUCUCUAACACCUUGACUUCACUAGAGUACCUUGAUGUAAGCACAAGACACUCGACUUCUUGAUGAACACACAAGAAGACUCGAAGCCGAACUAUGAAUAAGUUUACACCAGAGUUCCUUGAUGAACACACAAGGAUACUCGACUUCUUGAUGAACACAGAAGAAGACUCGAAGAUAAAUCACUAUAAAAAAAUAAAGAAAGAUGAAUUGGGGAAGGAUAAAAAAUAGAAUUACACAAGGAUCGAUUGAGGAAGAAGAUGAUCUUUGUGGAAGAGCCGACAAACAAAUUAGGGUUCUAUGGAGGCUAGGUUGGAACUCUUACUUUUCCCAUAACACCAAUGCCAUAUUUAUAAUCUAGGGUAUGUACGUACCUCCUAACAUGGUACGUACAUUCCUGAACAAACUGCAACCUAACAUAGCUUAGAAGGAUGAGAAUGAAGACAUAGGGACGACGCUUACACAUCAAGGUACUUCCUAAUAAUGUCGUCAAGGUGAGAUAAUUCCAGAUACUCCUAACCUAAUCACAAAAUGAUGUCAAACAACCGAAUGUCGGUUUCAUGAACUUGAACUCAGACUUCUACUAGUAUGUCCUAGCCUCCUAGUGAUACCUCAAUGACUGAAUACAUGUAAAAAAUAACUUUGCACUCAAGUUUUGAAGAAAGAAAGUACAUAAAGAUUGAUAUUGUAAGUACCAAACCAUGCUAGGUGGAGUAUUGAGGACACAGGAGCUAGAUAAGGAGAGCAAACUGGGAAGUACCCAAUCGGAGUUCAGAACAUUCUAGAGUAUCACGGAUAAAGCACGUGAUGUCUGGCUGUAAAGCAUUCACUGUAUAGUAUGUGAUGGAGAAUGAAACACGUAGGAGAUAAUAGAACCAUAGGAUGCAAAGGAGGAUCCAACGGUUCAAGGAAGGCGGUGAAUAUUGCUAUAAAAGGAUCACGUUAGGGUUCGCUAAAAGGUAACUGUUCAUUCUUUGCUAAAAACCUAUUCUCUAAACCUAGCCGCUUACUGACUUGAUCGUUGGAGCUUUAUCCACCGGUCAUUGUCCGGUGGUCAUUGCAGGUACUACCGUUGAAGCAGUUGAAGGACCCAGCUGAGCUCAUCAAGGAAAGUGGGCUUACAUUUGGCGCUAGAAGAAGGGCCACUUUGCUGCUUCCAGAUCUAGGGUUUUGGAGAAGAAGGUUGAAAGAAGAAAGUAGAGAGCAAUGGUAACACAAACUAGAUCGUCGACAUAUCUCGGAGGUGUAGCAGCUGGAGAUGUUCCGCAAGUUGUUCAUCCUCAAAAUCUCCAAGAUGGAGACGAAGAUACAAACAGAUUGAGAGAAGAGAACUUGAGACUGAGGGAGCAGAUAAGAAGGAUGGAAGAUAUGGAUCGUCAAAAUCUUCAGGAAGGAGAGAACGAAGCAGUCAGAAAUGAAAACCAUCAGAGACCAUUGGAGAGGGUAAUACUAGGAGAAGGUGAAGGAGGAACAAGGCGUCGGAUUCCGGGCCUAAGAGUGAAUGAAGAAGAAGGGUCAGGAGAAUCAGGGGUAAGAGCUCGCGAAGGGAGUCGAAGGGAAGGGAUGAAUGAUGAAGAGAUCCCGGCGGCAGAUCAAUACACCAGACUUUUCGAUAUGAUAUGCAAGGUCCAAGAGGACAUGAGGGCGCAGAACAAGGGAAAGAACAUGGAGGUGACUCAGGAUCUGGAGAGAUUGGGCAAGAGGCCAUUAGCCGAAGUGUGCUACCGUCACGGGUUCCCAAGUAAGUUUCAACCUCCUAAGUUUAAUGAGUAUGAUGGAACAACUGAUCCUGUGCAGCACUUGAAUAAUUUCAAGCAAAAAAUGGCGGCUUGGGAAGGGAGCCAGUAUGACGGAAUGUGGUGUCGACUGUUCCCUAGCAGCUUGAAGGAUAACGCUACAGACUGGUAUCUCAGCUUAUCACCAGGGAGUGUAUCAAGCUUUGCUCAGCUCAGUGAGAUGUUUGUCAAGCAUUAUAUUCAUCAGAAAAGACAGGCUGCAGAUAUAGCGUCACUAUUUGAUUUGGAACAAGCUCCAGGUGAGUCUCUUAGAAAGUUUGUUACUAACUUUAAAAAUGAGAUUUUGAGAACAGAUGGCGGAGUAGAUGAAAGAACAGCUGUGGUAGCAUUUCAGAAGGGUAUAAAUAAGAAGUCUCCUGCAUAUGACUCGAUUGUGUCAUCACGGAUGGCGACUCUGGAUGAACUUUUCCAGAAGACGGAGAAAUACAUCAGACUAGAGGACAUAGCAUCACGGAGAGCUCCAAAAGUGGUACCGGCAUCCGUUAACUCGGUGGCGGAAAAAAGUAAAAAAGGGAGAAGCUAGCUCACGAAGUGAUUCGCCACCAAGAGAUUCCGGCUCUAGGAGGAACAAAGAUGGAUCGAGAGGUCACGACAAAAGAGAAAGGAGGGAGGAUAGAGAUACUUCACCAAGAAAGUUGAUACCACCGAAACCGCUACCGCAACUCACAAUGUCACUAGAUCAAAUUUUGAAGAGAAUAAGAGGAAGAAAGUACUUCCAGGAGCCGUCGGUAAGAUGUAGAACAGUCAGGGGAAAGCCAUUCUGUGAGUAUCAUCAGACUUACAACCACCCUACUGGAGAUUGUUAUGAGUUCAAAUCCUUGAUAUGGAAAUGGAUGGAGGAGGGCCAUUUGAGAGAGUUUAUAGUGGAAAAGAACAAGGAGGAAGACAAAACAGAAAUUCAAGUCAGAGGGACCGUUAACAUGAUCUUAGAAGGAGCUAGAGAAUCCUUGAACGAGGUCAGGAGGAAGAUAAGAAGAGUGAUGCAGAUAAGAGAAGACUUACAAACAGUCGGAGCCGUUCCAGUCAUGCGAAAUGGCAGACCAGUGCAUCAGAGUGAGUCGAUUGGGUUUUCAGAGGAAGACCUCAAAGGAGUAGUCACACCACACAAUGACCCAUUGGUCAUUUCCAUACUCAUUGGAAAUUGGAAUGUCACGAAAGUGUUAGUAGAUUGUGGAAGUGAGGUAGAUGUUCUGUUCACCAGGGGCUUGGAUCAAAUGAAACUGGAGAGAGGUAGCUUGGCAAAUUCACCUGGAGACAUUUACGGAUUCAAUGGGGGAGCAGUGCGGCCAGUUGGAGAGAUAGUCUUACCGGUUACAGCACACACCAGAACCGUCAUGUCGAGAUUUGUGGUCAUAGAUGCUCCAACAGAGUACAAUGCAAUCUUGGGAAGAGAAUGGAUUCAUCUUAUGAAGGCAAUUCCGUCAAGUUACUAUCAGAAGAUCCGUUUUCCGACUGAAGAUGGACAAUAUGAGAUAAGGAGCAAUCAGGCUAUGGCCAAGAAUUUGAAGAUAGCAACAGUAAAAAGUAUGAGGCAUGGCACAGCAGGUGCUGGGCCGUCAUCUAUCCCUGCAUAGCAACGACAGAAGGAGGGUGACGGGUUCCCGCGUGAAGUGCUAAAGACAGAAGAACAAACGGAACCCGUCAACCUCAAUGAGGUAGGGGAUCAGCGGAUCACCUACAUGGGAACCAACUUGGAUGAGAAGGUGAGGUUUGAUCUUUUACAAUUCUUAAAAGAUAAUAUGGAUGUAUUUGCUUGGUCUAUGAAUGAUAUGACAGGGAUCGAUCCAGACGUAGCAUGUCACAGAUUGAAUGUCAAUCCAAGUUUCAAACCAGUCGCGCAGAAAGUGAGAACAAUAAAACCUACACUGGCAGAGGCAAUAAAACAAGAGAUCGAGAAGAUGGAGUCAGCUGGAAUAACAAGAGAAGUUCAGUAUCCAGAGUGGGUAUCUAACAUAGUGGCGGUUCCGAAGAAAAACGGAAAGGUUCGGAUCUGUAUAGACUUCACAAACUUAAACAAAGCAUGUCCAAAAGAUAGAUACGUCAUGCCAAGGGUGGAUGAGCUAGUGGACAGAACAGCAGGCUUUGGGUUACUGUCAUUCAUGGAUGGCUAUUCCGGCUACAAUCAGAUUCCUCUAUAUGGUCCAGAUCAGGAGAAAACGGCCUUCUAUGCUGGUAAGAAAACUUUAUGUUAUACCAAAAUGCCAUUUGGUUUGAAGAAUGCAGGAGCUACUUAUCAGAGGCUGGUAGAGAUGAUGUUCGAAGAUCAGCUGAGGAAGACGGUAGAAGUAUACAUUGAUGAUAUGUUAGUCAAGUCCAAAGAGCCGGAGGAUCAUCUAAAGGACCUGGGAGAAACCUUCCAGACACUGCGUCAGUUCAAUAUGAAGCUUAAUCCAGAAAAAUGCACUUUUGGAGUACAGUCAGGAAAGUUCCUUGGUUACAUUGUUACCAAGAGAGGAAUAGAGGUUAGUCAAGAGCAGAUCAGGGCACUCACGGACAUGGCGUCACCAAGAACACAGAAAGAAGUGCAAGUACUGGCUGGCCGAAUUACGGCAUUGGGAAGAUUCAUAUCAAGAUCCACAGAUAAAUGCAAGCCAAUUUUGAAGCUCUUGAGAAAGAAUUUAUCUUUUGCUUGGAAUGAUGAAUGUGAAGAAGCCUUCCAGAAGUUGAAAGAAUACUUGAGUAGACCACCAGUUCUGUCAAAGCCAUUUCCGGGGGAGACACUCUAUGUUUAUCUAGCAGUGUCGGACAUUGCAGUAAGUGCGGUCUUGACCAGAAGGGAGGCCUCAAAGGAGAGCCCAGUCUAUUUCCUCAGCAAGAAGAUGACUUCACCAGAGACAAGGUAUUCUAGAGUGAAAAAGUAUGCCCUCGCUUUACUAUUUGCAGCUCAAAGAUUAAGACCUUAUUUCGAAGCUUAUAGUCUGACAGUGGUUUCAAACCUCCCUCUCAAUCAAGUGAUGCCAAAAAUCGAGCGUUCUGGAAGAAUGGAAAAAUGGGCAGUUUCAUUGAGUAAAUAUCACAUUCAGUAUGAGCCCAAGAAGGCGGAAAAAUCACAAGUGCUGGCGGAUUUCUUGGCAGAUUUCCCAGUGGAGGAUGUAAUCAAGGGUGCAGAAAUGCAAGAGGAAGAGCAGCUAGAGUAUCUAGAAGUUCAAGAUACCGGGUGGAAAAGCGUCAAAGGAUGGAAGGUGUUCACCGAUGGGUCAGUAAAUAAAGGAAGAUCAGCAAUCGGGAUAGUAGUGGUAACACCAGAGGACACUAAGAUCGAGAUCGCAGAAAAAUUAGCCUUUCCGGCUACCAAUAAUGAGACAGAAUACGAGGCGGUGCUGAAAGGUUUGGAAGUAUUGCUGAAGUUAGAGGUAAAGGAGGUUACGGUUUUCACAGACUCGAAAUUGGUGGUGGAACAGUUCAAUGGAACAUAUAAAGCUCAGACUGGGAAGAUGAUGUUGUACUUGGAGGCAUUGAAGAGGAGUGUAGCAAAGUUCUCGAAAGUUGAUAUUGUACAUCUGUUUAGGGGAGAGAACCGGCAUGCUGAUGCAUUGGCUUACCUGGCAACGGCAACAGAAGAGAAUUCAACCAAGACUAUAACGUUCAUGCAAAGAUCUCAGCCAAUGAUAGAGGUGAAGGAAGUGACUGUCAACCUCAUUCAAAACUUGGGAGCAAGUUGGAUGGACCCAAUAAUAACCCACUUAAAAGGUGGUUCUCUUCCGAAAGACAAAGCAGAAGCUAGAUCGAUUGUGGAGCAAUCCAAAAGGUAUGCAAUGAUAGGGGAAGACCUGUAUAGGCGAUCACCAACUGGACCGUUAUUGAAGUGUGUACACCCAUCCCAAACAGAAGGAGUCAUGGCGGAAUGUCACAAUGGAAGUUGCGGCAGUCACUCACCGGGACGGGCCAUGGCACACAGGAUAAUGAUUCACGGGCAUUACUGGCCAAGUAUGUAUAAAGAUUGUUGCAACUAUGCUAAGAAAUGUCAUGGUUGUCAGAUUCAUGGGAGACUCAUACAUACCCCAGCUGAAAACCUUCACUUUAUAAGCAAUCCGUGGCCCUUUUCGAUGUGGGGAAUUGAUAUUGUGGGAAAACUGGAGAAGUCACAGGGAAGAGAAUAUUUAAUUGUGGCCACAGAUUACUUUACGAAGUGGAUUGAGGCAGAACCUUUACGAAGGAUCAGGGAGGUAGAUGUCAAAGAUUUUAUCUGGACCAACAUCAUCUGCAGGUUUGGCUUACCAAGGGCUAUAGUAGCAGAUAACGGUGCUCAAUUCCGUGGAGAGGAGUUGAAAAAGUUUCUGGCAAGUUAUAACAUAAAGCAACUCUUCGCAACACCAUUUCACCCACAAGGAAAUGGGCAGGCGGAAGCAUCAAACAAGGCCAUACUGGAGGUACUGAAAAAGAAGCUUGAGGAUAAAAAAGAAAAAUGGUAUGAGAAUCUUUGGGAAGUACUAUGGGCAUACCGGACGACUCCAAGAAGGUCCACAGGGGCAACUCCAUUCUCCCUCACUUAUGGGAUGGAAGCUGUGAUACCACAAGAAAUGUUGGUACAUACGGCUAGAAGAAUGGUGGUCGAUCUAGGGAAGAAUAAUGAGAUAAUAGAGAGAGAGCUGGUCUUAGCUGAGGAGGUCCGGGAGCGCGCCAAGCUCAGAUUGGAGGGCUAUCACCGCCAACUAGAGAGGACAUACAACAAAAGAGUCAAGCCAAGAAGCCUAGUUCCAGGGGAUCUCGUGUUAAGAAAACAGAAUCCGCCUCCAGCCAAACUAGAGCCAAACUGGGAAGGGCCUUUUGUGAUAGACAAGGCGGGAGCGAAUGGAGCAUACUACUUAACCUACCAAGACGGUACCCCUCUUGAUAAGCCAUGGAGUAUCAGCAAUCUAAAGAAAUACUAUGCCUAGAGGGCAAAGAUGUAUUAGAGCAACAACAGUAGACAGUAUGUACCUAGAUUUGUUUGAAUUUCAAUGAAAAUAUAAGAUUUUGUUGUUAUUGACUUAUCUAGUUAUAUAUAUAUAGCACUAUUGUCUGAGACCAGGCCAAAGGUCAGACAUAGAAGAAACCCAACUAAGGUUGGUGGGAAAUAACAUAAGUGUAGACUUGGCAGGGCAAGCCGUUAACUAAAUGUUAAAGUCUCUAUAUGAUUAUUUCUUCCCCAUUGAGUUUGAUUUAGACAAUACAGUGGGGUGCCUCUAAAAGAGAAGAGCAAUAGUGCUAGUGUGUUAACGGGGUUGCACUUGCUGAACCGUGACGACGGGAUCAGUAGAAGUAUAGCCUAAUGUUAGCACAUGAGAAACCAAUGCCAGAAGAUAACAAUAAUUGAUAGCAAUUAUAAAAGUUUGCAAUGUUGGAAGACUUUCGUCAAAAUUAAAAAUUAAUCAAAUUACAACUCAAGGCAAGGAGUCUCGGGUGGAAGCGCUAGGAGGCGUUAUCCGCAUUUUCUUGGCAGAAAGAAUAGCGGUUAAGUUUUCCUUCACUUGAGCCUUCACUUGCAUGGCAAGUUGCUCUUUGAAUUUCGCCUCCAUCUCCUCGUAUUUUGAAUUGUAAUCAGCCAGGAGAGUUUCUCUUUGCUCCCGUAGGUCGGCCAGAUACUGCUGAUAGUCAACAUCAUGAGCGGCUUCGAGUUCAUUUAUUUUCACUAAGCUGUCAGCCCAUUUCCCCUCCAACCUUGCUACCACGGUGGCAUGAGCAGCAUCAAGGGCAGCAAUACGCUCACGGUGCUCACCCUCAAGUGCAGCAAUGUGAUUACGGUGCUCACCCUCAAGUGCAGCAACGCGCUCACGGUGUUCACCCUCAAGCCUUUUCCGGUUCUUCUCGAUUUCAGCAUCACGAGACGCGGUUGUUUCUUUCAGUUGAAUCUUAAGUUGCUCGAUCUCGGCUUGAAGAGCCCAUUUCUCGCGAACUAGUCGAUUCUUAUCCACUGUAAUGUCGUGCUUCUCUUUUACAAGAUUUUCUUUUUCCAGCCUAGAAGCAUUUGAAAAAGACUUGACGACGAGACCGUUAACCUACAAUUCAAUAGAAAAGUUAUAGUCCAAAAAAAAAAAAAAAAAAAAAAAAAAAAAGAGAAGAGGGGAGACUUACGAGAGCUAGACCACGGAAAACUGUAUCUCGGUCCUCACCAAAGUUCAUCUGAUCAAUUUUAGCUUGAUCAGAAGGAAAAAUAGAAUUGUAGAUAGCGGCGAAAGCAGUUGCCCCAUUGUCAAAAGCCGAAGCUGAGGGAUCACGGGGAAGGGGAACGGCUGGAGUCUGGCUUGGAGACUGGGGGGAGGGAGAAUCAGCAAGUACUUUACCGCGAGAAGAGGAGCCAACCUUGUUAGGGUCAAAGGCUGGUACAGACUCUGAAGACGAAAAAGGACCUUGGGAAGUAACACCGGCAGGAGGUGUAGAAGUCUUGUCAGCAGUUGGUGCCGGAUUAAUCUCAGCAUCAAGGGUGGGAGAGAAUUGCUGGCCAUCUGCGGCUUGGUCACCUGAUCCAGAUGAAGAAUAAUUAAGAGUACGAUGGCGGGUAUACCUAGGUGCUUCACGAAUAGGUGCAACAAGUGUAGCAACAUCAAAAAUUUCGUGAUCAACAGGAAGUGGUGGAGGCAUCGCACCAAUAAUAGGGGGCUCAUUUGGAUCAAGGAGAGCCAUGGAAAAUUCCUUAAGGGGAGAAGAUGAAGGAUGAGAAGUUGAACCUGGUUGGGCGAGAUUGUCCAUGCCGGUGUCUUCAAAUAGGAGACCACCAUCAAACCCAAGUUCAUCAAGAUUAAAGGAAACCUUGAUUCCACUAAAGUUUGGUUGUCUGGGUUCUUCCAGAGAGUCGCUGGAGGAAGAAGAAGGGGAUCCCGGUAGUUGAGAAGGAGCUUCUGCCAUUUUGGCCCUUUUCACUCUAGGAAUGGAAGGACCGUGUUGCUUUGAACGCGCCAGGUGAACUUCGGGAGAUUCCGGCAAUGUCUCUGGUUCACCUUGGACUGCCUGAAAAUCAGAACUUUCAGUUGAAGAAGAAGAAAGAUCACGACUACAAUUCCUGACAAUCUUUUGAACUCGAAGAGCAGAUAAGAAAGGGGGAAGUCGGGCAGUUACUCUUUUUUGCUUCUUCUUCUUGGAUGGCGCUGAAACUGCGGAAGGAGGUUCACGGGUUCUCUUUUUAGUUAGGAUCGUCUGAAGAGGGAUAUUAUCUCCACCGUCAUCAGAUUCUCUCUCCAACUCAGUAGCGGCAGCAGCAGAAGCUUUACCCUUCCUUUGUGUUGAUCGGGAAGUAGGAGGAAUAGCAGAAGACCUGCCCUUUUUAUCCCUGAGAUAAUCUUUGUGGCAGCAGACGGGUAAGACGUAUUCCCCUAGAUCAAGAUCCUUAACGAUCGGGGUACCGUCUUUCUUUGAGGAAGUAAGCUCACGAAUGGCGGAAUAAGCGUCAGCUCCAGAUCCUAUCAAAGGUUCCCAAGGGGCGUCUUUGCGGGGUCUUAAGGCUUUGCCGUCACCGCGAACCUCUGGGAUAGAAAACAGAUAAAAGAGUUAGACAGGCACUAUCAAAAGGAUUUUCAUCCUAGGAAUGUUAAUAUAUGAACAAAGUAGAAAAAGUGAGGAAAAAACCUCCUAGAUUAAACCGCCAGUAUUUUAAAGGGUUAGAAAUGCCAGGUCCUUUUCCCCCGAAGUUACCAAAGACAAUCAUAGGAAAGUCAGGCCAUUCCUUGUCACUUUCCGGCAAUUUUUCAAUAAUAGACCGCCUACCGGGGCGUUUGACGAAAUAGUAAUAAGGUUGACCACAUUUUUCUUCGCAAACCCGAAGAUAGUAACAUUGACGUAUAUCAGCAAGGGAAACGGUAGUUCCUUCAUUGUUUAGUUGGUCUAGGGCCCGCAAGAUACGCCAAAAGUUACCAAUACAUUGUCCAGGGGCGACUUGGUAAAAAUUAAGUACAUCACGGACUAAAUCAGAAAAAGGAAACGGGCAACCAAAAGCUAUUUGGUGGGCUGUCACCAUAAUAGCAUCUUGGCGGCUAAAUUCGUGAUGUGCAAAGCGUAGGGCAUGUUUGUAGUUGAAAAUUUUUACAUCUUCAGGAAUGUCGUAUAGUUCACAGAGUAGAUCUAAAUCAGGUCUAUAAGGGUAGGUACUGGGCACAUACGAAUCAAGGUAGUAACUGGAAGGGGAAGGGUGAACACCGCCAUCACCUUGACCUCCUUCAACUGUCUUCCUCGAAGAAUCUUUCUUUUUCUGAUUUUGAUAAGAAGCCAUUUAUGUAUAGAGAAAGGCUCACCAAAAUCGUAGAGAAAGAAAGAUUAGGGGCGUAUACAGGAUGACUCCAAGAGGAGGAAAGGAGAGAAGAAAAAUAAUUUGGAAAUUUACGGCAAUCGAAGUACAGAGUAUAUAGCGAGAAGAAGAAAAAUGAAAACCUAGAUCUAAUAAUGGCUAAAAUUAAAAUCAAGAAUAAGGAGAAGAGAAUAACCUGAAUUAGUCGACGGAGGAAGAAAUAAAGACGAGAAUCGAACUUUCAGGGGACCGGACGGUGCGUGAUUUCGUAGAGAAGAUGAAGACUGAAGAGAAAGAUAAACAGAGGAGGAGAAUGAAGAAGAUGAAAGGCAAAUGGAAGAAUUGGGUUAAAGGUUGUAAAUUUAUAUGAGGAUAAUCCCAGGGGUAUUACGGGAAGAAGUAAAAUAGUGACGAGACAGUAGCAUUGGGAAGCGAAAGGACAGCAGUUAAAAUCAUAAGUGCGUCUGGGUAAGAGCAAAAGAGGCACGCGUAGGAGGUUCGGGACUCGAGAGCAUGCGCAAUUAAUGAAUAGCUGGAGAGAUAGGGAUAAGGCAGAGCCUAAGGCACGUGAGGAGCAGGUGAUAGAUUAAGUAAUGAAAAGAACUUAUGACAGUUUUUCCGUCAUCAUAAGGAGUUUACAUUUAGGCGGAGAAAAAGCCUUUGAGCCGCCAUCUAAGAAAUAUAGAUGACGGUCAAAGGAGGGGCGAUGUAAGUACCAAACCAUGCUAGGUGGAGUAUUGAGGACACAGGAGCUAGAUAAGGAGAGCAAACUGGGAAGUACCCAAUCGGAGUUCAGAACAUUCUAGAGUAUCACGGAUAAAGCACGUGAUGUCUGGCUGUAAAGCAUUCACUGUAUAGUAUGUGAUGGAGAAUGAAACACGUAGGAGAUAAUAGAACCAUAGGAUGCAAAGGAGGAUCCAACGGUUCAAGGAAGGCGGUGAAUAUUGCUAUAAAAGGAUCACGUUAGGGUUCGCUAAAAGGUAACUGUUCAUUCUUUGCUAAAAACCUAUUCUCUAAACCUAGCCGCUUACUGACUUGAUCGUUGGAGCUUUAUCCACCGGUCAUUGUCCGGUGGUCAUUGCAGGUACUACCGUUGAAGCAGUUGAAGGACCCAGCUGAGCUCAUCAAGGAAAGUGGGCUUACAGAUAUAAUGAGAAAAGUGGAGAGGAUUUAGUUUUACUUACAAGUUACUCUGAAUGCUUCAAGAAAAUUCAAGUACACAAUUUGGCUUUCGAGCAAGCAGUUGUAAUUGUUUAAUCUCUCUUUCUGGCAGUUCUCCAGGAUAUAGCUUAGAGUUAAAAUAAACCCUUGUUGUUAGUUUGAUAGUCAGUUUAUCCAAUACUCUUGCACUUUUUAUCAAAAAUUUAACAAACCACAUCUUCUCCGCUGUCCAUCUAAAAUGCUGGAUCUCAACUAACUUCAAGUGUGACAAGAAACAUUUUGGAGUUGUUCCCAUUAUUUGAACUUAUCCUUUAAAUUGGAUCGAACUAAGUCCCUAUAUAGGAAACAUAAUUAGAAGCUUUAAAAUGAAACUGACAUGAAAAAGUUUCUUUUCAAAGCCGAAAAGAACACAAAGGAAAAUUAUGGACUUACAUCGGGAACGGAAAUAGAUUCGAUAUUAGGCAUGUUACAGAGUAAAUCUAUGAAUGUUCUACCAUUUGCCUCCGUUUUGUACCACACAGUCAGAUGGAUCAAGCGGGAAAGUGCAAGUAAAUGGAUUGAGUGGUUCGGACAGGCGAGGGCCUAGAUAUAUCAAAUAGUACUUCUGAUAAAAAAGGUAACCCCUGAACUUCAACGAUACAAAAGUACAAGACUCUGCAUAAAUCCUUAUCGCACAAGAAUUUAAAACAUCAGUCCCCCCAUCCCCUAUUUUUAGCAGAAAUGGUAACACUCUUGAUCUUUGACCAUACACAGUAAUCUAGGAAAAAUUCAUCUAGGAUAGACAACUUAAAGAAAUUUCCUGUAUUGAUUGAUCUCCAAAAAAUGCAAUCUAAGAUGCAGGACCUUAAGGCUUGAAAAACAAACCAAAGCGGGUAUCUUCAUCGAGACACUCAUUUCAAUUUCAAUAUCCUCAAUGAUUUAUAAGUAAAAUGCAAUCUGAAAACCGAAAGGGACAUUCCUUAAAAAAUUGAGAUAUUUAGUUCUUGAACUUUACGCCUCAUUGCCUCAUAGAGAUCCAUUCAUUGAAGUGAGUUGCAUCACACUCCUUACAUUUGAGGUUGCACCUAGCAUAUAUUUGAAAUAUCAUUGCAACGAAGCACUUUGUCUACAAACUCACUAAAGAUUCCCUUUGUUUUCCUAUAAUUUGGACUCUUGCUCGAGUCGUUAUACAAAUGUUCAUCACAAAAAUCAAGAUUGUGGAUGAACUUCCAAAAGGCCAUUCCAUCUUGUUGAUAAUACACUAGUACCCAGUGGCGGCCCUGAGGGCAUGCCCAAGAAGCUUUUGAUUGGGGCCAACCAAUUUUUAAAGAAAAAGUGCACUAAAUCUUUACUCAACAUGUAUAUAAUUAUUUAUAGACCACAAUAUUGUCAUAAUUAAUUUGGUAGAUUUACUGGUAGCAACACUAUACCCUACUAAAAAUGCCCUAAGACCAAUUCUUAAGUACUAUUUUUUUAAGAAUUUUUUUUUUCCACAAAAAUUAUUUUCUUAUGUGUUUAGAAGUAGGGGUGUUAAACGAGGCGAACGAGCCAAGCUUUGGUAUGUUCAAACUUGAGCCAAGCUUUUAACAAGCCGAGCCCAAGCUUUUCGGUUCGUUUAACGACCUUAUUUAAAAGAAAUGUAGCUACACAUGUGGGUCAUCUAUGUUUAAAUUUGAAUUGGCCACCUAAAACUCAGGGCCGGCCCUGCUAGUACCCAACAACAUAUUUAGUAGGAAGAAAGGAGAGGAUGUAAUGCAGAAUCCAGAAUGUGUUCAGGUAAAUUGUUAAUUCUAUCGAUCUCACCAUUGCACUGUUGUUUAGAUAGUUUUUGCUUUUUAGAAUUUUUUGCAGAAGCACUUGUUUCCAUGACUAAGGUUCCAACCAGAAGCUAUACUGGAAUAUCUAAGAACAGACGAACUUAUGAUUGAUGAACAAUAGUGUAUGCUUAAUGCAUAAAAGGAAAAGGCACAAACAUUGCAGAUAUCUCUCUGUUUUACUGAUCGAAUCAACUCACUCUCUUGACAGCACUAGUAGCACACGCGAAAAAGUCGGUCGAUCUCUUUUGGUCCUCUUUGGCUGUGUCCAAGUGAAACUCAAGAAUGAAGCAGAUAGGUUCCAGUCGAAGGCAUUCAGCGAUGGGAUUGAGAAGAUAUGGAAGAAGAUUCAGUGAUCCCAGCAGGGUCAAUCUCAUAGGGGAAGUCAACUAGUGCGGGAUAUAAGAAAAUAAUUAUAAAAUAAGAUGACACCUCAAAAAGGAAGAAUUACAUUAUUUUAGUAAGGAAAAUAGGCAUUACUUUCUAAAUAAAACAUUGCGUUGUAACUAUGAGAGAGUCUUUUCUCUCUCUCUUCUUUUAAGUUUUCUCUAUCUGAAUGUCGAAGACAUAUUACUUAUUUAUCAAGAAUGUUUCUAAAUUGAUAUGUACAAUUAUUAUAUAUUUGCCAAGAUGUUCUACAUUUCUAAGAUUUCCAUAUUACUGAAUAAAUAAUCAAAUGUUAGGUUGAACUCCAAGUUAAUUAAUUAAUUCCACAAUGUAGAACAAGAUAAUUAUAUUUUAAAUAAAUAAAUAAAUGUAGCAAACAAAAAUAAUCAAGCUGUUUUCCUUUUAAUAGCAACAAAACUGUAUCAACGAACCAUCUUUAGAGUUAGAGUAUCAAUGAACAAGGUAAUCUAAAAUUAUCAUUUCAUAUAUAAAUUGAAUUAUCAAUUAGGGUUAGAGUUCAUUAUUAGUGGCAAAAAAAGGUUAGAGUUCAUUAAACUUUAGAACAUUUCGUCAUGUGAUGUGAUAUAUUGGUUUCAAGAGUUAUCUACAAAUCCUCCAUUCGUUAAUAUUGUAGAUGAUAUACAGUAGAACCUCUUUAAAUUAAUACUCGAUUCGUUAAUCUCUCUAAGUUAAUGAAAUUCUCUAGUCCCGAUUUACAUCGUAAGUAGCUAAAUCAACACUCGGUAAGUUAAUAAAUUUUAAUAAAAUUGCAUAGGUCCGAUGCUAUUAAUUUAAAGAGGCUCUACUGUAUAAUUCAAUCUAUCUCACUUAUUGAGAAAAGUGAAAACAUUGGAGGUAUGAAGAAGUAAAGUGAAGAACUACAGUAAAAUUAAUAAUAAUGAAUAAUCUCAGCCCUUGUAGAAAUUAAAGCAACUUUAGGUUAGCUGUAGACAAGAUAGAUAUGGACGAAGUGAUUCUCAUUAUUCACUUCUUUGUUCUCUAUACAUAGCUUAGCCAAACAUAACAUGUACAUAGGAAAAAGAGGUGUAUUCACUUGUUAUUUCUCUAAGUACCACAUACAGUAUAUAUAUAGGCAUCACAAAGUCAAUCACUUGUGCUUAGCUAACAUAGGUGAGUGCCACCUAGCAUCCUUUUCUGACACAUCAAUUUGAUGACUAAUCAAGUAUCACUGAUGGUCUACCUAAUCACCUGGAUUAAGAGUGUGGGCUUGGAUUUGGACAUCCACUAUUUACAACACUCCCCCUUGGAUGUACAAUAUCCACCAUAUCAAGAUAUUGCCUCAUAAAACCUUGCUAGGAAAAUCCAGUGGGAAAAAACCAUGGCAAAGGAAAAAAAGUACAAUAAUUGAUUUCUUGAUUGGUGUUGGAUGCACUAUAUACUGCCUCGUUAAAACCUUGCUACGAAAACCCAGUGGAAAAAACCGUAGCUAAGGAAAAAUAGUACAGUGCGCUUAAUGUCCUGGUGGCUCCCCCUGAAGACAACUCCCCCUGAUGAAGAUUAGACUAAGCUCGACUUUCGGCGAAUCCCAAUGUCAUAUGCCAGUUUCUUAAAAGUUGAUGGAGGUAGUGACUUAGUGAACAAAUCAAAGAGAUUCUCAUCAGACCAUAUCUUCUGGACAUUGAUCUCAUUACUCUUCUAUAGUUCAUGAGAGAAAAAGAAUUUUGGAGAAAUAUGUUUUGUUCUAUCACUUCUGAUGUAGCCUUCCCUGAUUUGAUCAGUAGAUGCAGCAUUGGUUGUGGUUGAUGAUACAUCAUAUCUAAACAACAUGCGGGCUCCCCUCAGUUACAGAAACACUAACAGUGAUUUGUUUGGAAGAUCACCAAGAAAUUGUUGUACCACCAUAAGUAAAUACAUACCCGGUUUGCGAUCUUUCUUUGUAUGGGUCAGAUCUAUAUCCUGCAUCUGCAUACCCCUUUAGUUAGGAGCCAUUUGGUGGUUCUCUUGAAUAUUAUAAACCCAUAUCAGCCUCGAAAGUAACGCAUAAUCUCUUUUAAGCCAGUCCAAUGGCGUUGGGUUGGAGCUGACCUAAACCUGGCUAACAAAUUCACUGCAAAUGAAAUGUCAGGUCUAGUACAUUGGACUAAAUAUAAAAGAGCACCCUUAACACUCAAGUAUGGUACUUAAGGAGUAAGUAAAGAUUCGUUCUCCUCUUUAGGACGAAAUGGGUCUACCUUCACAUCAAGUGACCUUACGACCAUUGGAGUGCAAUUUGGCAACAUUUGUCCAUGUUAAAACGAUUUAAAACUUUUUUAGUAUACGUUGACUGAUGGACAAAUAUUCCAUGUGUUGUAUGUUCGAUCUGCAGGUCGAGACAAUACUUUGUUUUCUUGAGAUCUUUCAUCUCGAACUCAUUCUUUAAAUAGUUUGCAGCUUUGGCAAUCUCUUCAGGAGAUCCAAUUUUAUUUAUGUCAUCUCUUAAUCUUAAUAGAGUACAUAUGACAUGGUUUUGCUUCAGGCAGUUAGUUUGCAUCUUUAGCAAUCUCUUCAUGAGAUCUAAUUCUAUUUAUGUCAUCUCUUAAUCUUAAUACAUAUGACGUGGUUUUGUUUUAGGCAAUUUUUAUCCUUCAGGGACUUUCAUAUAAAUAUCAGUAUUUAACAUUUCAUAAAGAUACGCAGUAACCACGUUCAUGAGAUGCAUGUCGAGUCUUUUAAAGACCGCCAGACUAAUUAAGAAUCGAAACGUAAUGACAUCCAUCACAAGAAAAUAUGUCUCUUCAUAAUCAAUCCCGGGUUUUUGCGAGAAAUCUUGUGCCACGAGACGAGCUUUAUACCUCACAAUCUCAUUUUUCUCAUUGUGUUUCCUUAUAAAUGCCCAUUUGUAACCUACAAGGUUAACAUUCUUGGGGGUUAGGAAACACAUUUGUUUUGCAAGAGAAUCUAAUUUUGUUUGAAUUGCAUCCUUCCAUUUUGGCCAAUCAUGUCGUUGUCGACUAGGGCUGGCAAUGGUACGGGUUAGACCCGAAACCCGGUCCGAUCCGUACCGAUAAGAAUAGGUUUGGUAUUGCAUUUUUAUGUAUUGGUACGGGUCUGGUUCUUCAAAUUAGGACCCGAUUGUUAUCGGAUCGGGUUUGGAAUUAGUAGAUACCGAACCGAUAUGGACCCGAUAUAAAUUAUUUUGAGGUUUUGAAUAUUUUAGAUUCACUACCAUUAUUAACAUAUCAUAAAAAUCCUAAAUUCUAGAAAUUUGAUUAUUGUAAAUAAAUGUUUUAAUACUAAUUACCUUAUAAUUAUAUGCAAUUACAUUAAAAACAUAGAAAUAAAUAAAAUCAUAUACCAUAUUUGUAUACUUGAUUAUAUAUAUUUACUAAAUAUAUCUAUCUAGAUUCUUAAAAAGUAACUCAUUUUUUCUAAAUUUGUAUACAUGACAUAUCAAUUUAUGGUCAAAAUACCCGAAUCCAACUCGGAUCCGAUCCAAUAAGAUUUGGUAUGGGUAUGGUUCCUUACUUUCGGACCCGAUAGGGUCUGGUUCCGGGUCCAGGAUUAUUAGUUUUCUUAUUGGUUCGGGUAUGGUAUUUCUAAUAUCCGGUCUGAAUCGGUCCAUUGCCAGCCCUAUUAUCGACAUUCCUCAACAGUAUGUGUAUCAAGACCAUCAUCAUCUGCUGCAAUCUCAGCAGCUACGGCAAAGGAGAAUACGUCAUCGAUGACAAUUUUAUUUCUAUUCCACAACUCUCUUGUGUAUGCAUAAACUACAGAAAUUUCAUCAUUUUCAGGUACCUGAGCCAUAUCUGGGGCUUGUGUUAGUUCUGGGACAACCACUUUGGGGGCUUGUGUCAUUUCAGGGGUUUAUGUCACUUCAGGGACGACCACUUAGGAGCUUAUUUCGCUUCAGGGAUGGCCACUUCGGGGGAUUGUGUCACUCUAGGGACACAUUCCUCUUCAAGAGGUUUUUGUUUAGAGAGAGUGUGUUUUCCUUGCCUUAUAGCCUCUUUAGGAGCGCUAUUUACUGGAGGUUUUGUUUGACUUUUCCUCUUCCAGGGAUUUGAGUCCUUUGACCCAAUAGGUCGUCCACGCUUCUGGCGUACUUUAGACGAUUUCAUUUGCUGCCACAUUUGUGGGAUUUCCUUCAGGGACAUGUCAUCCUUCAGGGACAAAUCGUCCUUCUGGGACUUUAAUUCUCGCAGGCGCAUUAACAACUGCUAUAUUUUAUCUUAUCACUCUUGCAAGUCAAUUUAGGCGCUUCUUCAGGAAGCCACAAAUAUUUACACCGUUCUACAGUAACGGUACUUCUUCAGGAAGUGCUUCUUCAGGAAAUCGUAAAUAUUCACGCUGUUCUUCAGGAACAGAUGUAUUUUCUCCCCCUAACGGCGGGAAAACUGUCUCAUCAACGUGACAAUCUGCAAAUCUAGCGAUACGAACAUCAUAUGUCAAUGGUUCAAGAUAUCUAACAAUAGUUAGAGAAUCAAAACCAACCCAAAAAAUUCUAGACUACGAGACAUAUAACUUUACUAUCCGCAAGAUGAUUAUACAUGCUAUAUGCAUAUCCCUUCACAAUACAAGGAAAAUAUUUAAGUAUACUAUUAGAAACGAAUUUCAAAUAGUAAAACAAUGUAUAUGAGGAUUAUUUGACCAAAUAAAGUUAGAACUUCCGGUUCUUAAUUAAUGGAUUAAAACUUCAAGUCUAAUCAAAGAUGUGAGACUUCAGGCUUGAUCACUAACAAAUAAAAACUUUAGAUUCUUGGUCAAAAUCAAAUAUUUGAAACUUCCGGCUCACUGAGGAUUUUCUCGUUUUAUAAAGACUUCAGGCGUCAACAUCAUUUAUAAAAUAUGAUCAUUAGACUUCGAGUCUUGAUCUAAUCAUACAUAACUUCAAGUUCUUGGAGCUUUAAGCCCAAAUAAAAAUUAAAUUUGAUGUUGAGCUUCUGGUUCAUUAUGGAACACAUCAAUAUCACUAUGAAAUAAAUGGUUAGAACCAAUAAUUUCAAUUUAAAAAAUCAAAUACUUACUCAAUACUUACACCGGUAGUAGUGUAGUAGUUUAAUAUUGUAGUUCUUGUCUAUGUACUUCUUGAACAAUAGAGCAAUCUCGUGCUGAUAACGUCGUAAAAAUUAAAGCAACUUCAGGUUAGCUAGUUGUAGACAAGAUAGAUAUGGACGGAGUGAUUCUCAUUAUUCACUUCUUUGUUCUCUGUACAUAGCUUAGCCAAACAUAACAUGUACAUAGGAAAGAGAGGUGUAUUCACUUGUUAUUUCUCUAAGUACCACAUGCAGUAUAUAUAUCUAUAUAAUAUUACAAGGCGGUCUCAUAAACACAGCCGUUAGAUGCCUAUUAGGACAACCACAACCAUUGGAUGUAGAAUAAUUUAUAUAAUCGAUGUAAUAAGUUGUAAUAAUAGCCUUAGAUGUCCAAAAUUCGAUCUUAACCAUUAGUUGUCUAUUGAGACAAUCGUAGCCAUAUGAUUAAGAGUUUUAAUUGCUAUCACAUUAAAUUUCAGAAAUAUAACCUAUAGAUUAAUUAAUAAUACUAAAUAACCAAUAAUUAUGAGACAUGGGCAAUUAAAAUUAUUGUAAAUUAAUUAAUAAUACUAAAUAACCAAUAUUUAUGAGACAUGGACAAUUAAAAUCAUUGUAAAUUUAUUUUUAAAAUAAUAAUAAAAAUAUUGAAACCAAUGAAUCUUUGGUGUAUAAGGAUUUAGAUGUUCAAAAUUCGAUCUUAACCGUUAGUUGUCUAUUGAGAGAAUCAUAGCCAUAGGAUUAAGAGUCUUAAUUGCUAACACAUUAUCUUGUGGAUUAAUUAAGGCUCCAGAUUUUGCCAAAGAAAAAAAUGUUUUUGCCAAUGAUUAAUUCUUGGUAUUACAUAAUUGCCCUCAAUUAGUUUAAUUUAAAAUUUAACUAUUUAGUAUUCACAAAAUCUUGGAGAAAUCUAUUAAUGCUUUGCCCAUAUAAGGAUCAUACAGAAAUUUUGUAAUUAAAUUUUUUUAUUUUAAAUCCCCAAUUUUGAAUUUAUAUUUAUUUAAAAUACUUAAAAAAUAGUUUUUUAUGUAAAAGUUUAAUAAAUAGAAAAUGAAAAAGAUUCACUUUCAUUAUUGAUUGGUUUAAUCAAAAUUUUGAUAUGUAAUUAGAAAAGAAGAAUCAAACAAUUUUAGUGAAUCAAGAGAUUUGAUUUAACAGAUAUUUUGAUUUUUAAGAAUCUAAAUUCUAAAAAAAUGAAAAGUGGUUUUUGAACAACAAUUGUCAUAUUUAUGGUAAAACAAUUGAGGGUAAUUGUGUCAUAUCAAAAAGUUAUCAUUGGCAAGAUUAAUUUAAUUGAACCAUUAAAUUGCAAAUGUUUACUUACAUAUUAGCAAGAUUAAUUUAAUUAAAAUUUUGUAAUUAAAUUUUUUAUUUUAAAUCUCUAAUUUUGGAUUUAUAUUUAUUCAAAAUACUUAAAAAAUAGUUUUUGAUGUAAAAGUUUAAUAAAUAGAAAAUGAAAAAAGAUUCACUUUCAUUAUUGAUUGGUUUAAUCAAAAUUUUGAUAUGUAAUUGGGAAGAGAAGAAUCAAACAAUUUUAGUGAAUCAAGAGAUUUGAUUUAACAGAUAUUUUGAUUUUUAAGAAUUUAAAUUCUAAAAUAUGAAAAAUAGUUUUUGAACAACAAUUGUCAUAUUUAUGGUAAAACAAUUGAGGGCAAUUGUGUCAUAUUAAAAAGAUAUUAUUGGUAAAAUUAAUUUAAUUGAACUCACUAAAUUGAAAAUGCUUACUUACAAUGACAACUAAAUACUCGAAAACUAUUGUUGUAGGUUAUUUAAACUUUCUUACAAUAAUGGUGUUGACUAAACAAGAUAAAAUCCAACAAUAUCUAGAUGCAGGGUAUAAUGGACCACUGGAAGCAGCUAUGCGCUUAUUGGAAAUAUACUACCUAUAGAGAGACCGAAAGUGCAACGAUUACACCUCCAUCUUAUUGGAAUGCACCGUCUUCUUUUUAAUCCUAAUGAAUCAAAGAAAGCUAUUUUUAAAAGGGCUCAAAAUAAGAAAUCUACUCUAACUGCCUUUUGUUUAUUGUUGUGAUGCAGAUGCUUAUUCAAGGGAACUAACAUAUCAAGAGUUCUCUCAACAUUAUGUCUAGAACAAUGAAGAUUCUAAGUGGACAAGAAAAAAAUAUAGAUUUGCCAUUAGUAGAAUGUAUUUUACAAGUCCUAAUUUAAGUGAAAAAUUCUAUUUGUGGUUGUUGGUUACGAUUGUUAAAAGGUCUUGCACUUUUAAUGAUCUUAAAAUAUAUGACAAUUAUUUAUUUAAUACGUUUAAAAAAGCAUGUGUUGCACGUGGUCUGUUUGAGGAUGAUCAAGGAUACGUAGAAUGUUUAGAAGAGAUUACUCUUAUGGAAAUGUCACACGUUCAAAUUUUUUCCCGAUUGCAGGAAAAUAACACAAGCAUUAAAGCUUAGGAUUGCAUAAGGAGGGUAUGAGAUCCAAGUCUCUACUGAGUACAUUAUGCCACUAUUUUCCAUUCCUCCUAUAGUGGUUGGUAGUGAGACCACUGCUAAACUCUUGGUCACAAAAAUUGGUUGUGAAUGCAGUUGGAGUUGUUCUAUAUUAUCUUUUAGUAAUGUUUGAAUGUUUGUCACAUCUAUGUCUACUGUUUUGGUAAAUAAAUACUCAAUAUAUUUCAAUUAAUUAAGGGAAAGAUACUAUCACUACAAAAGAAUUUAGUUAUUCUAACUGGUAGUAGUUUUCCAUGUUUUGCACUGUACGUAAUUCAAACAAUGGGUCUUGGGAGAGAAAAUGACAACUGUAAUCAAUUUCAAAGUAUUAUGAUUUGGAAAGAGAUAUUUAAAACGUUUACUUAAAUGCUUACACACCAUUCUCUACCCCUCCAUAUGUUCUUCUAUGUGUUAAGAACUCAUACCAAAAAAAUAAAAAUAAAAAAAUACACAACUAAAAUGGAUGCUACCUAUAACUCUUAAAAGAAAGAAAAUGGCUAGAGAAAAAUUUUCAUAUGUUUAAUAUUUGUCUGCAAUCAAAGAUGGAGUGAAAUAAAUACAUAUUUGAAGCAAUUGAAUGAUAUUGGUAAAGUUCAAUAUAUAUGUAAUAUAUGCAACUAUUAUAUCCAAAAGCUCAUUAGGAUAAAAACUAAAGCCAAACGUGUUAUUGUUAUUCUUGAUCAAAGUAAAAGAUAUAUCAACUACAAUAAACACAAAAAUAAAUUAGUUGGAUGCAACAAAUAAAAAAUAUUAAAUCAAAAUUUAAGAUAAAUAUUUAAUAAAAAUUAUAGAAAAAAAAAUUAAAAUAAUAAUAAUUAAAAUAAUCGUGCCUUAGGCACAAGUUAUAACUAGUAAUACAUAUAUAUAUAUAAAUAAUAAUCUACAAAGGGUGCAUAAUUUGACUAGGACUAAUUUAUAUGACUAGGAUUAAUUUCUAUGACUGGGAUUAAUAUUUAGUAUGAUUAGGACUAAUCUACAAAGGGUGCAUAAUUUGACUAGGACUAAUUUAUAUGACUAGGAUUAAUUUCUAUGACUGGGAUUAAUAUUUAGUAUGAUUAGGACUAAUAUCUAUGAUUAAGUCUGAUUAGGACUAAUACACCCAAAACCUUAAUCGUCAAGUCAGUUUGCUAAACCUUAAUCUCUUCCAUCAUCAUCAUCGUCCUCUUUUAACCAGAAGAAAAAACUAAAACAAAAGUGAAAACGAUCUGCAAAUCCCUACUCACACAAUUGAGCACUAAAUAAGGAUUUGAGGGAUUUUGCUUCCUUACAACACCCUCGAAUUGAGUUUGCUUUGCUUCCUUUAUAAUACUCAAAUCACCCAAAACCGAGCUUGACUUAUUAUGGAGUCUGUUUUGUUUGUAGGAAAUUCGUUAGUUAUGAUUUUUAGGUGGUUCUAAAUUCUGCUGAAUUUUUUUUGAAUUUUUCUGUUUGGAUUUUGAAUUUUUAAUCGUCCAACAGCAUCAAGUUCUUCUUAAUCUGUUUGAAUUCAAGCCCAACAACAUCAAGUUCUUAUUUGGACAAUUGUUCUUAUUUUGCAGUCAAUUCAAUUCUAUAUAAACUGAACUAUUAGUUUUGAUCCUGUAUUACAAUCACAAUUAUUGACUGUAAAUAAUGUGAAUAAGUUGCAGAAUACUUGAAUGAGGAUUAAUUUUAAUACUGUAAAACAAUUCAAUUCUUUUAGGCACAUUGAGACCAAGGACGAAAAACAAAGUUAAUGAAUGAUGGAGUAAUUUAUGUAGUGUAGCUAGGUAGCUUGGGUUAGGAGACAUGUCUGUCCCUCUCUUCAAGUACUCCUGCAUUUGCACUGCAGUUAAAUUAUGCCCGUCCAUCGCAAUGAAUUCUUCAGCUGUCAUCCCAAUCUUAUUACUUUUAAAGUUUCAAUGUCUUAGGAACAUCUCAUGACAUUAUAGCAUAAUGAAACUUUAAUAGUUAUCACUAAAAUACACUCCAAAUUUUGUGUCUAGAGUUGCUUUGCUGCAUCUCAAACUAAUAUGCUAUGCUGUCAUAUCAGUUAUUCGUGUUCAUGUAUUCAGCAUUGGAUGUCUUACAGUGAUCUUCAUUCAUUAAGCAAAACUAAAAAUUCAUCGUAUUAGUAACCAAAAUCAUGUCGACACCUUCUUAGCGAAAUCACUUAUAUAGAAAACUAGAACUAAUGUUAUGGUAUUAUUAGGAGCCCCAAGGAAAAUGAUGUAGUCUGAAACCAUUUGAAUGGGGGAGUGUAUAGAGAGAGCUUUGUCAGAUUUGUACUACCUCUUCCUUGGUAGUAUACUAGCCAUAGCUUUCCUGAUUUUGUUUUCUCCUUAUUUUCCGGCCUCCAUGUGAAAUGUGCAUUGCCUAAUAACAAUGAUGCUUUCUUAAAACAAUAAUAUAAGCUGACACGGGUAUAGGUUUCUUCUACAGACAAACUGAAGUGAUGAGGGAAUUUUAAGUUAAUUAAAUGAGUACGGGACUAGAAACUAAUCUAAUGUAUUUUUAAGAAAAAACAAUGAUGUAUGAAAAAUUAAAAAUUAAUAAAUUAGAAUUAAAUAAUAUCAAGCUAAAUUAAUCAAAAAGACAAAGGAAAGUUUGCUGAAAGUGUAUCUAGAGCCGGUCAUAAUCUGAAGAGGGUGGACUUCGACUCUGACGUUAGCCUUACGUCGGUGACCCAAAAUAUAAUAGCAGACAAGUUUUGAAAACCAGAAGAACAAGCUAAAAUCCAGUGUAGACAAUAAUUAACACCUCACAAUGAAUUUUGUAAGAAAUAUUCAAUUUGAUUAAGUACUUUAACUAAUAUGGCAUAUGCUUGGAAUUUAAAUUUUAAACAAUGUCAAAUGGAGCCUAAAAAGUAAAUGGGAUUUGGAUUUAUACAUAUUGUCUCCUUCAUUCCUUCGAAUGUUUUCGUAGUUGAGUAUCCUUCUAGAUACUAUGUUGAGGUUAAUACCUUUAUUUUCACUUUUUAGCAUACAAUUUUGAUCUAUAUUAUCAUACAAACACAAAAAAAUUGUUUUUUCGUUUAAUGUUAGCAGUUUUGUUUUGUUUCCCUGUUUUACUAACUAAGAAAGUUUUAUUUCAACUACUGUUGAAAUCCUAAAACGUUAGCUUGACACUUUCCCCAUUGUUUUGCCCUUCCCAGUAUUCCACUUAUAAUGCUCCCCCGAGCUGACUUCUUUUAUAUCUACAUUGUCUGACAGAGAAAGAACAAUGGGUACAAAAGCCUUCUUCUGAUGAGUCUGUCAUGUGUAACAACUCCAUCCAGAAAUGCCUAGGCUGAUUUGAUAUUGAAGUUUCCACCUAGACUAAGAGCCGAUAUGAUUUUAAAGAUUUAAGUUUGGAUUAUACAUGUUAAGAUCUAAUUAUAGAGUACUUGAGGAGCUGGUGAUAGUUCAUUGUAGUUGUAGGCAUUCUAGAACUUUGUUGGCUAAGUGCAUAGCACAAAAUAUCGCGACAAUUAUAGUGUGACAAGUUUGACCAUUUUGAGAAACUACAAUUUUGUUUAGAAAGAACUUAGUCAAUAUUACUUGAAUGGGAACAAAAUUAGCCCAUUUUAAUUUAGGUACUUAGAAACACUGAAACAGAACACAAACUUGACAAAUUGAUGCAUUAGCUUGAUUUUUCUGGAAGGAACAUUAAUUAGCAUGGGCACUCCAUAUAACUAGGAAAUAUUAUGUGAGUGAAAAAGCAAAAGAAUAAAUUAGCAUAUAUAAUCCAUUUACGUUUUUAUACAGUAAAUGCAGAGAUAAUAUUAAUUGAUAUCUACAUUAAUAAGGAAGAAAAUGCAAAAGGAUAAUGUUCAGAAGAAUAAUGUUAUCAUAUUCCUUGGUAUGAUAAAUAUGGAUUAAGAAUAGAAAUUUGUUGAAGCCAAAUAUGCAUGUUUCGCCAACUAGCUUAUAAAAAUAUUGAAAUAAUUAGAGAUAUUUUGCAUGCAAUUUGAUUAGCAAGGACAAGUGAGCGUUACGCCUUUUCCAAUAACAAAUCUGAAGACCCUUUCAAUAAAAAUAUAAUAGCCUAAAUACCAAUCGAAUAAUACGUCGUCCAAUGACUUGGCAGGUAAUGUUACUUUCCAGAUGUGAGGCUAAUGGAACUGUGCACUUGGGAAUCCUCCAAGAAUGGUUUGGAAUACAUUGGUGGAACUCCCGAGCUUUCACUUUGUUCUGCACUAUCAUAUUUAUCAUGCUUUUGAGAUUAUUUGAGAUUAUGGUACAAAAACUUUUUUGUUCAUUCUUAUAUUUAUAGUUGUGGUUUUUUCUUAAUGGUUAUGAGAAGUACAAAACAUUAUUGAGAGGGCAUUGAUAGUAAAGGGGUAUACAGUACUUCUUGGAAGUUAAUUAUAUGCAAACUAGAUUUAUGUGAAAUUGUUGUUUGCUAUACAGGUAAACUAUGGUUCCAAACAAUUAUUCGAGACUCUGCCAGUGGCCACAGGAGGACUCUAUUGAAUUGGGAACCAGUUCAAAAUAUAAGCUUUUGUUACAGAUUCGUGUUCUCAAAUGAUGCUUCAUCUCCAUGACGUGUAUGAUACAAAGUCUCAAUAAGGUUAAGCAUUUGCCAACUCUACAGUAUUUCUAUAUGACCGUGGAUCUCCAUGUUCAUUUUUGUAACUUAUCGAUUAAUCUCACUUUCUACUUUAAUCGAUAAAUAUAAAAAUAAAAAUUGUUUACGGGUCACCAUGUGGAGAAGUAGAGGUAGAAUCUAAGCAUACUCAAGCUAGCUGGGUUGUGUUAGUAGCUUAAGUAUGAUCCAAAUCUAUUUUCUGUACUAUGACAUGAGCUGAUAGCUUAGCUUUUGAUGUUAUUGCACUUGAAUAACAUUAACUUUUGAUAGUUAGUAGCAAUUGAACUAUGACAUGAGCCGCUUGAAUGAGGCUGAAGCCUUUGAAGCUUGGGUUUUAGAUAGGGCUGGCAAAGUGACCCGAGACCCGUUAACCCGACACGAACCCGACCCGAUAUAAACAGGUUUGGGUUUAGCCUUAUCGGGUUGGCGGGUCAUUUUGACCCGAACCUGUUAACCUGUUUAAUAUACAGGUCGGGUUCAGGUCUGAAUAUUAACAGGUCGGGUCAGACCCGAAACCCGUUAGAAAACCCUAAGUAUAAAAUAGAAAAAUACCAAUACCCUAUCUAUCCUUGUUAUUUUCUUCUUGGCCGCCACCAUGAACAAACCAGUGAACCACCAUUAACGUCUGUUCUUCUUCAUGUAAAAUGGCAGCAUAUCAUUCAUCAUCAACUCUUCUUCCUUUAGAAGUUGAAAUCAAGAUUUCUUCAGCUAAUGAUCUUAAAAAUGUUAAUUGGAAACAUGGUGAUCUCAAAUCGUAUGUUGUUGUUUGGGUUGAUCCUAACUCCAAUUAAUCAUUCUUCUUCUUCUUCUUCAACUUCAUCAAUCUAUUGAUUUUUCUUCUCACUACUUUCCUUCCUUCUUUGCAGCUUUAAUCUGUCUAAGCCAUGUUCUGACGAAUUCUUGUCAACCAAAACGACCGUUUGAAGCAUAUAUUGGAUAGUACUGGUGUUGGCGGUGGUGAUGGCGAUGCUGUUGCUGAGAUCAACGGUGAGAUUAGAGCACGGUUUCUUGGAAUCAAAAGAAGAUGUACUUCUCUCAUUCUUCAGUUGACAAAUGUUUAUGAACAAAACAAUGAGUUAUCGGUUGUGAAUCUUUCAAUCGAAGAAAUCUUGAAAUAUAGAUGUUAGUACGUUUACUGUUUUUCAUGAUUCAUGAUGUUGAUGAAAAAUUGAGAUCCAUUGAUGAUGGUAAUUUUACAGAUAAUACAGAACCAGUUGGUUUUACGCCACGAUUUGGCUUCCAUCAUCCAAAUCAAGAAGCAACACCAUAUUACCCACAGUCAUAUACAAACAUUCAAUGUGUUUAAGAAAGCAGGUCUAAACAGGUCGACCUGAACCCGACCUGUUUAAUUAGCAGGUCAGGUUCGGGUUUAAGGAAAAAGAGUUAAACAGGUUAACAGGUCAGGUUCGGGUUUAAGCGAAAAACACCCCAACCUGUUAAGACCCGACCUGAACCCGACACGACCCGACACGAUUGCCACCCCUAGUUUUAGAUGACGUGAACAACAAAAUUGACUAUAGGAUUUUGAACCAACUUUUGUGUUAAGCUAGCAAGUGCUAGACAUGGUGGUAUUGACGACUGGAUGAAGAGUGAUAUUAAGCCUACCUUUGCUGCCUAAAGCAUUAACUCUUGCUUUCUUGAGUUUAAAUUUUUUUCCUUUUAAGAGCACAAGACAUUAUUUUAUUUAUUUAUUUUUUUUUUUUAUAAAGCAAAACAAGACACUUGACCACUGUGAUUCUAAAUUUCUGAUAUGAUCAUCCGACUAUAUUCUUUCCCAUAAUCAUCUUUUCUUUACUUAUGCGGUACUAUUUUGAUUCACAUUUUCCUUUGAGCAACACAAGACACUUGGGUAAACAAUUUUUUUUUAUCGUGAAUAGAUAUUAUAAAUAGGAACAUAAGGUCAUGUAUUUUAAUAAAAUAUUUGCAUUUAGCAUUUUGUGCAUACUUAGCUGGUGUAGCUCAGUUGGUUAGAGUGUGUGGCUUUUAAACCACAAAGUCGAAGGUUCAAGCCCUUCCUCCAGCAUCUGUAUUUACUGUAGCUUUGAUAUUUUGGCAUAAUAUUCAUAUUUAUCUCAAGUAGCUCAUUUUGUUCGAGUUUGAUGGUUUUUUACCUCGAUGUUGAGUUCAAGCCUUUUUUAUACAAUUUACAUUUUAAUUGCCAGUUUUAUUACAAUUUGGUGCUUUCAACGAUGUAAUGAAAUUAGUUUCAAUUCUUUUAUAUUGUCAUCAUUCUAGCCUAGAACUAAUAUGUUACACGGCACACAGCUGUUUUCAUCCUCGAAAUCGUUGCGAUCUUUAGAAACUAACACAAAUAGUUGUGAAACAUGGUCUUUAAUGAAGAUGAAGAUAGCUGGCGGACGAAAUUGAGCAGAAAAGGGGAUUUUUUUGUCCACUCCAUGGGUUUUUUAGAAGAAUUUUUUAUCAAAGUUUGUUUGGUAAUUUCUAUGACUUUUCUAAGGUCCCUAUUCUAACCCUCAUGUACAAUUGGCCAAAACAGUUUUUCUAAACAAAAUUUCAUAGUAUUCGGUAUCUCCUGAUAUAGCAAUUGCAACAUCUCCAAGCUUGAAACUCUCACCUGUUCAGAACUUUGUUUAUGGUGUUUCACGUGGUGGAUAGACUUGAGCUUUGGCGGAAGUGCUAUCAAUAGUUGAAAGUAACAACAUGCGUACUAUCAGCAUGUUCCUGCAAGAUUGUUGUCUAUUGUUCCUAGCACAACAACUGAUCUUAAAUAUGGCUGAAACAUUGGCCCAAACUUCUUCACGAGCUCACUAUGUUCCCUAGGUACUGAAGGUGAUUUUUUCUUUUUUAUCUAAAUUUUGGACAGAACAUGAAAAUAACAUGUUACUUAUUGUUUCCUUGGCUGUCUAAUUUCAGAUAUCAUUUGAAAUUCAAAGACCGGAGGAAUUGGCUAUUAAAGAAUCUAGGGAUUAAAGCAUUUAUAUGUAAAUAAAAAAUAAUCUAACAACCAACAAUUUCAACAAUAAGUUAUGACAGUAGUGAUAUCCAAAUUAUCAAAAAAUAAUUAUAGGUUCAAAAUGUCAAUAAGAAAAUCGAUGUAUCUCAUUGACUGGAAAGAAGCAAAUGAGAUUAUGGAGGUAUUCUUCGAAGAAAAAAAAAAGAUAUGAACAAACAAAGACUAAGAAAGAAACAGUCAUUGGAGAGAAGAUACAAAUAUAAGAUAAGUUAAGCGUCAAAAUAGAGAAUCUCAACAACAAUAAAAUAAUUUAUUUAUGUUGUUUUGAGAAAAUCCUACAUAUUAUUGUGUAAGGUAGUAUUUUCAAUAGAAAAUAUUACAUUGCCGACUGCAAUUUACGAAUAUGUUAUCAUAUUUUUGAUAAAAUUAUUGUCACACAAACUUCUAUUAAAUGGUUUCUUUGAAAAAAAUGGUUGUUCAUUUCGUCAUACCAUAUGUGAUUUUAACUUUUAUUUCUACAUCACAUGAUUAUCUUGAGUGGAAUAGAUAUUUGUGUUGUUCAUAACAUCAAACUGGUGGCUUUUUUGUCUCUGUCAAACUACGUUAAUCACUCGCUUAGGGAUGGACACAGAUAAUAAGAUAGAGCUAAUUUUUGAAGGUAUUACUAUUGAUAACGGAUGGUAUACAGUUGACCUUUAUGGCAUACUUACAAGUUAUUAUGGACAAAUAAUAUAUCCAAAUGCUUUUUUGAAAACAAUCUGAAAGGAGAAAAUAAUGGAAAUAAUAAGAUCAACAGUAGAAGAUAUACCACCAGAAGAAGAAGAUGAUACAUAUAUGGACGAAAUGGACAAAAUGGACCUGAUGAAAAAAAAGAUGAUAUACAAGAAAUUUCAAAUGGAUACAUUGAGCUGUUAGAGAUAUUUACUCUAAAAAAUUUAGUUAAUUAGAUUAAUUAUUAUAUUUUUAAGAAUAAUUACUUCAAAUAAAUAAUGGUUGACCAACAUCACCUGAGUAUCUGACAGUCAGAAACCUACUCAGUUUUGCACAGUUGUACUGAGCAUUUGUUGUGUUAUAGCAGUAGCUUAAUGUUACCACCUAUGAUGCAAAAUUUUUGUUAUUAGAGUAUUUGACUAUAGGGACCAAUUAUGUGAUUAUUUAUAAUUUAGAUCAACAAUUUUAUCCAUGCAUCAAUGUCCCUAAGACUAUAAAGCGUCAGAACAAUUAUAUUUUUUAAAUAAAAAAAAAUUAUAUUUUUUAGAGUUCUAUUUUCAAAUUAUUAAUGGUAGUCGUGGCAGCGCCACGGGUUUUACUAGUAUAUAUAUAGGCAUCAUAAUGUCAAUCACUUGCUCAGCUAAUAUAGGUGAGUGCCACCUUGCAUCCUUUUCUGACACAUCAACUUGAUUGCUAAUCAAGUAUCACUGAUGGUCUACCUAAUCACCUGGAUUAAUAGUGUGGGCUUGGAUUUGGACAUCCACUAUUUACAACAAGCCCAAAUAUAUGUGUAGAAGAACAUAGAUGACAGUAUUCACCAGAGCUUGGACGCUUGGUUGCAGAUCGAGAACAAAGAGGGAAAUCUGAAAUUUUUAUUUUUUAACGAGGGAAAAGUUUUGCGAAAUACAGGCCCUUUUAGAUAGAGCCCAACCCAACAAAGAAGCCUGGUGUGGUGUUUGAUGAUAAGUAGGGUUCUUUUCUUUUAACUAUAAAUUAUUGUUUCUCUCUUAUCGAUUGAUCUUCUACCAUCAAAUUAGGGUUUCUUCUUCAUCUCCAUUGUAACACAACAUCAUGAGGGCUAAGGUAACAACAACAUCUUUAACUCUUUCUAUCUCUUAAUCUAUUACAAUUGUUGUUCUCUUUCUAUCUCUUAAUCUAUUAAAAUUGUUGUUAGUAAUGUGUAGGUUUUGAUAUAUUGUGUGAUUUGUUUGUUUGUUAUUUGAUUUAUACAACAGUGGAAGAAGAAGCGAAUGAGGAGAUUGAAGAGGAAGCGUCGAAAGAUGAGACAGAGAUCCAAGUAGAUUGAUCGAAAUUAAAGUUUUAUGUUUUUGUUUUGUUUUAGUCGGUAGAUAUAUGUAUCGAUAUCGGAGUUUUCUUUUUAGAUCGGAAACGAUUUCACUUUCGGCGGAUGAAUCGGAAUCGGAAUAGCUACUAAAAUAGUAGUUUUAUGUUUAUCGUAAUUUGUAUCGGAUUUUAUGGGUUUUUUCCUAAUAUCGGAAGAAUCGGAUUAGUAGCUUAUGGUUAUGGUUAUUUGGAUGAAUGUUUGAUUUGAUUAAUUAGUUUGAUUUAGUUUUUAAUUUUUUAUUAAAUUGAAAAGAUAGCAUGGCCUGAGAUUAAGAUUAGUUUCAUAAUUCCUUUAUUCAUGAUUUGCCCCUUGUUUGCGGUUUUUAUUUAAGCAAUUUUUAUCACUAAAAUUAGUCAUGCUUUCACACUAAAAACCUUUACAUGAUAGUUCGCUAUAGUUUAUCUGCUUGUAAAGUUGUAUGCCGUGGUCCAUUAUGGUGGAUUGAAUGGUCCAAAAGUUUGAAGCAUGUUUCAAACAUUUGAUGUACUUAGUCCGAUAUGGUCAUCGGAAUAUAGGAUUGUUAUGGUAGUUGUUGUUUCUGGUUUGCUUGUUAAAUGUGGUGUUGCUUUAUUGCAUUUUGUUGUUGUUGUAGAAGACACAAUAUUCUAGUGCCUAUUUAUCAUAAUGCGGGUAUACAUUAUCUGAGCCUUUCUGCAAGCCUUACUCUUUGCCAUCAUAGAGUUUGAAUUUUGUGUUUCUUGUUAGGUUUGAGGCACAUUUUCUGAUAACACCUUGAGCUGAGCAUGCUGCCAUACCAUGUCAAGGUUUGGAAAUAAAGAAAACCUUUAAGCAUGUUUUUGUUUCUAAAUGUUACAGUGUACAGUUUUUGUAUGGAGGAGUAAGGAGUGCAAUUUUGUGGACAUACACAUUUUGUGUGUCCACGGGACAGCGUUGUAAUAGGUCCACGUAGUUAAAAAAUCCACAUCAGCUUUUAAUUAUAAAUAUUCAAAGAAUAAAAAAAAUAAAAAAUAAGAAUAUUAGAAAAACUAUAGAAAAUAGUGGUUUCUCUUCCAAUGUUUUUCUUUCCCACUAAAUGAAUAAAAGGUCUCUCUUCUGUUCUGCCUUCAUGGAUAUAGGAGAUGGAAUGGAAUUAAUUGAUUUAUACUGGUUUAGUAUUGUUCAAAAAACCAUUACAAAACUAUCCUCUACUAACGUUUCUAUCUUAAUCUCGUAUCUUGAAAAAACAGAGGUUUUAUGAGUUAAGUUCGCUCUCUACAGGUUCAAUCUUAGUAACCAGAUAUUAGUUAAAACAAUAAUUUCAUGUAAAGAAUGUAGGAAAAAUUAGGAAUACUAGAAGAACAAUCAAAACCCAUCGAUAAAUUAAAGAUUUUCUUCUAUGGUUGAUGAAAAAUCAUCAAAAAUCAAUCAAAACCUUUUGAAUUAGAGCAAUUGAAACCCUCUUUUAUUCAAACCAAACCCCUUUGUUUAUAUUAGGGAAGAAAACAUUAUUUUCAUUUUUCUUGUUAUUUACUUUUUAAUAUUUUAUUUUUUGUUUUUGAUAAUUAAAAGCUGAUGUGGAUUUUUAACUAUGUGGACCAAUAAGACAACGUUGUCCCGUGGACACACAAAAUGUGUAUGUCCACAAAAUCGCACUCAGGAGUAAGGGCAUCUCUAAGGUUCAUCAAAUCUGUCACCAAACUCAAAUUUGAUGAGAAAGUGAGAAAAACUCCAUCUAAUGGACCAUCAAAAGUUCAUCAAAUUUGAUAUUUCACCAAAAAUCAUCAAAAAUUCAUCAAAUUUGGUGAAAAUUUGAUGAAAAACAUCAAAUUUGAUAUUGGGUUGAGGUGGGCAAGAGAAGACCGCUUCACUUAAAGCGAGUAAUGUAGUGCCGCUUCAAGUGGCACUCCAAAGCCCAUUUCAAUUAAGUGGCACUUGGAUGUCUGCCUCAACAGAAUUCUUAUUUAGCUUUUCCUUAAAGUGACACUUCAUUGUCGCCUCAACUAACUGUUGGGUUAAGUGUCACUUGGAUGCCCGCCUCAACUGAAAUUUUCAUUUAAGUGGCUCUUCAAAACUAGUCCAACUCAAGUGGCAUUUCAUUACCGGCCUCAAUUUGGUGAACCAUUAGAAACUGAAGUUUUUUUUCAUCAAAUGGUCCAUCAAAUAGGUACCAAAUCUGCUGAGGUGGCCCAUCAAAUUUGGUGAACCAUUAGAGAUGCCCUAAAGAGUUGCAGUUUUUACUUCACCCUACUCCGGGAGUACUGUUAAUUUCUAUUACUUGUUAUGCUGGCAAACAUGCCUUGUUAGUUGUUACACUGGAUUGGAUCCAUCUGUGAUUAAAUGUGAUUUGUUAAGCUAUGGAUGGGCAGAAUUGGUUGUCAUUUGGUUUGAAUUGUUUGGAUGCUAUUUUGUACCUUAAACAGUUCAGUGUUCCAAACAUAGCCUAUUGGACUACAAAUAAGAAUUCCUUUGUGCCUAUAUUCCAAUAUAAACAAAUCUCUUAGGAAGGAGUUUAUAUUUUGCAAAUAGAGAACUUGGUGGACCUUACCUGUCUAAAUCUGCAGUAACAAAGAAGUUCAAAAUUUGGAACUUCUCAAAAUGUUUCGACUUUCUCAACUGGGAUUCACCUUACCUUUCUUUUGACACAUAUUUUAUUUUUUGGCAAGGGAGAUCAGUAACUCAAAGAUGCAUUAAAAAGUUGGGAUCUUUUGAAUUAUUUUACUCACAUGGUCUUUAUAGUUGAAUGAACUGGUAAUCUUGUAUGUCAUCCUGCACUUAGUAUAACAGAUUAUUAUUAAGGUGAUCACCAUAAAAUCCAUUUCUUUUUCAAUACUGUGAUGCUCCAUUUUUCUGAUAUGCUACCAUAUUUACUUAUACCAUGUCUACAAAUCAAAUACAGAGGUAACCACUACCGAGUAUUCAUGUCAUAUAUGUUUAAUAGACUAUUAUUACAGUCUUAGAGUUCAAACAAGUUUGACUAUAAUGAUGUAAUUUCAUCAUUUCACCAUGCAGGGUAUCAUGUGAAAUGAUUUAAUGACCCUUUAAAGUAUGGUCCAUUAAGUGUUACAAUGUUGAUGAGGUCAUGGGUUUGAAGUAAGAUAAGAACACAAACUUUACCCACCCUUGUCUCUUUGCAUCAUAACAUUUGCACUUUUGCAGUCUAUAAAGCCAUGCAAAUCUUUUCACUACCUCCCCCAUUUCUCAUUUAUGAUAAAAACCUAACCCUAGAUAUUAAUCAUGAACCUUCUUGAACUGCAUUAAAGUUGAAAAUUACAGACUGGUUAUAUAUGUAGAGCAAGAUAUGUAAAAGAGAUGCAUAAUUAGAGCUUGUCAUCAUUGUUUCUUGGAUUUGAACAAGAUCAUCAUCAAUUACUACACCCUCUACACCUUGGGCAACUUAAACAGCAGCAAACCUUUUUUACACAUUUGACUGCAUAUACUUGGUGGACAUUUAUGUGUACAUUAACAACACAGCCACCUUACCAUUACCAAAAGGAAAAUAAAAAAGGCUUAAUCACCCAAAAACCAUUUACAGUUUUACACAAUUUACCAGUAUUAUCAACCUUUGAUAUGAUGAUCAACAAUUCAAUGGAUUCCUCCCCUUGAUUUGCAUAGUACAGAACUCGUGAUACUACUUAAAAUCAUAAUUAACAAUAUUCUUCUAAGCAAGUUUCAUGAGGCAACAAAUUACUGGCCCCAUUAAUCCUAAAACAUACAGAAUCCAUGCCAGCUAAAACUGUCAAAAAAAAAAACAAAUUUCUCAUGAUAACAAAUUCACGUUAAACACUCUGUGAACAGUAAGCUUAAGAGGUCCUACUUAGUAAAAUGAUUAAUGUGAAUAAGUACAUAAUAAGGGCAAAUUUGUCAUUAGAUAAAAAGUAAUGAGAUUUGCUUAAAAAUGUUUUGAUCUAAAAAUAUUUCAAGAAGACAAGAUGAGCAACAUUGAUGAUGGGGGUUGGAAGGUGAUGAUGGUUCUUCAACCCAAACCAACCAUCAUUGCGAAUCUUCCAUAGCCCAGCCCACCAUCAUUUACAUACUACAAUUUUAUACCCAAAAUACCCUUGAGGAAGAACAAUCAUCACACAUACUUGAACUUCAUCCCCCAUCAUUAUACUAACACAUUAAAUCUCAUCCUUGCUCUUACAGUCUUUAACUGUACAGGCCGUCUUCUUUGCUUACACAUGCAUGAUUGCUUUGGCAGAAGAAGCACGUCCCUCAACACCCCUUCUCUUCUUCCCAACUCUCUAUAAAUUCACAUUCACAACUUUCUACUUCAUCACCAUCUCUCCAUUUUCUUCUACUUACUACUCUAGUCUUAGUUUUCUGAACAUUAGCUGUGCAACCUUCACUUCAUCAAGAGUUCUUCAUUGCUUUAGAAAGGUGAUCUUUUUGUACACACCACUUCUGUUUCACUUUCUGAGUUUUUAGUCAUAUGUUUUAGUCUUAUAUAAGAUUUUGUACUUUUUUCUCAAACACUUGUGUCUAUGUAGGGCUUCUCUUCCUUUCACUAGAUUUUGUUGCUAAAAAAGGGAUUAUUUUUAUACGGUGAUAGUGGGCUUGUUUGUACUGUAUAAACUUUUAUUAAGAAAAUAAAACUAAUUAGUGAUUGCUAAAUAUAAUUAAAUCAUCUGAUUUUUAAAUAAUAUAUAUAUGGAUUUCCUCUGUUCUCUGUGAACUUCCAUGUUCCAUUUCACUUAAAGAAGGAUCUUUGAAAAGUCUGGAGUCUUCCAAACAGUUAUCUUUCAUGCUUUAAGGUUCUUGAACUUUUUUCAGAUAGCCGUAUCUAUCUGUUCUGGUCUCCUUUUUCUCUGUUUUUCUACAGUUCUGACUUCUUUCUUCAGUACUCAAUAUUCAAUAUUACAGCAUAUCAAAUAAAUAAAAUGCUUUAUUUCUUUCUGUCAUGAGUAUUAGUUUGUGGGAUUUCUUUUGCUGUUGCUCAGUUGCUGUGUCUAGUCUGACUUACUCUUGCAGUUUAUUUUAUAAAUUUAUCUGACUAGCCAUCAUUACAUUUCCUUCAGAAAAAUAUUACUAUAUCUAAGAUAUUCUUUUCUGUUUAUUGUUUGGUCACAGAUUUCUUAGUCAUGGAACAGCUGAACUCAGAGCUUUACUUGAGGAAUUUGUACAUAAUGCAAGAGAAUGAAAGGCUAAGGAAGCAAGCUAAGCUUCUUGACCAAGAGAAUCAGAAACUGUUAUAUGAACUCAAGAAGAAAUUCUCCAAGACAAACAGUACUAACAAGCAAGAUCUUAAUGGCUCUGCCUCUACUAUCACUUCUUCUCCAAAUCCCAAGAGUUCCACCAAACCAUAACCAUGUCAUGGAUUUAGUUAGAUAGUCCUCUUUCGUAUUAGGUAGUACUAGUUGUUUGUUAGUAAGUUGUCUUCUACCAUGGCACUUCAUAGUAGUAUGUUUUCUUUUAAUUAUCCUUUUAAGGUGACAUCAUGAACACCUGCACUACAAAGAUGUAUCAGUUAAGAAAUGAAUGAAGUAUAGUACUUUUGUCAUCUUGUAGUAUGCUCUUCUGUUAAUAUUAUCUUCUCUUGAAUACCCAUGAAGCCUGUGAAUUGGUUGAGUAUGCAAAAGAAAAUAUCACCAUAACUUGGUACCUGUUUGAGUUCAUAUGACAUGACAUUUUUAGUUCACACUUAAAAUUUGGUCUUACAGCAGUUGCACACAGAUCUCUGUACUGAAACAUUUGCGAUCCUAAACUAUGUAGUGUGUAUGCUCCAAUAAUAAUUAAAAACAAAUAACUAAAUCCACAUCCCUCAUUUAAUGAUGAAGUGAAAAUAUAAGUUGCCUAAACAUCACAAGAAAGGCACUUCUCUUAUUUCCUUAAGCAGAAAGGGUGGAAAAGAUAGUCCUGCUAAUAUCUUCCUGGCUUUAGUCCAUAACUUAUUUAUUUUACGAUAUUUCAACAGAACAGAAGUAAUAUUACUAGAGAAAAACAGUAUUGAAGCUUAUACCUAGAAAUAUACAGCCAGCAUAGAAGUGCAGCAUGGUGACUAAUGAGCUAAAGGAAUAGUCAACUCAUAUACAAAGCCUUCAAAAAGUUGUAUGCCUUGGAUCUUUCGCAUUGAAACAGCAGGGAAAAAUUAUUUCAAGCAAAAUAUGCCAACUCACCAACUACUGUAAAGGCUCAACUUGUGUAUAGGUAGGAAUUCAUCGUAUAUUGUAUUAAGAGGAGGCUUGGGGAUUGAACAUGGGUGGAACAAACCUAAAGAAGGGGGGUUUUGUUGUAUCCCCGACACUUCUCAGUGAAAUACACUGGUGAGACGUGAUCUCUUGAACUUGAACCUGAACCUGCUGUAAAGGGGUGGAAUCCUCUUAAAAGAGAGGCUUGUACAGGGUGGAAUUUCGUGUAUUAGAGGCCCAUUAUUCAACAUUUGUAAGGCCUAACUAAAAGCCGGGAGGUAAAAUAAACCUUAACAAUAAUUCCCAACAUGUACAUUAGUAUAUAUGAUGCAAACCUUAGCAAUAAUUCCUAACAUGUACAUAAGUAUAUAUGAUGCCUUUACGCAAUGAAUGAUGCAAAGUUGCAAACACAUACAUAAUAAACAUCUGGAAUAUUGGAUCAUAACAUGAGAAAAUAAAUUAAGUUCUCCAUUAACUUCCCACUGAAAAACAAAAGAGAAUACCAAAACAUGAGAUCAGUUGAGAUAUUUAGUACCAGAAGAUUAAACAAAUUGAAAGAGGAGAGAAAGGGAAAACGACACACACAUAACUUGAUAAUUGCAAUAUACACCACAUCAUAACACCCACUCUCUGACAAGAUCAAACUACUUUUCCAGGACAGCCUAAGAAAUCACACAAAAACAUUAUCUUGCACUACAUCAGCAAAAACAGAAGCACCCUAUUUGGUAUACAUUUUAUGAAAAUCUUAACAUCUUACUUGCAUGACGAGAUGACUCCAGAUGGAGUAAUUUCAAGUUCCACUAUUUUGGUUGGACAAAUGAUAGUGUUGCACCUGAGGAGGCUCUAUGUAAGGAUUGUAUCUUCUUGCCAUAUUCUGAAUAUUUAUACUCUUUGCUCCUUGAUUGUGGCUUAAUUGUCGUGAUUCUGAUGUUCUCCAACACACUUGCAGUCUUCAAUAAGUAUUCAACAAAGUCAAAUUCAUUCUCAGUGCAUUUAAGGUAAUGAAUCUCCACUGAUCUCAGUUUCUGAAACACAGAGUUAGGAGCCAACAACUUGUCCCAAUCACCCUUGUUUGUUGGUCCGUACGUUUCCUAUUAACAAAAAAAAUGGAUGUUAGAACGAUCCUUGAUGUGCUUCUAAACAGUAGAUUUAGAAAAUAACAAGGAAAAAUAAACAAACACAUGUGAGUAGGAUAUUGACCAAUAAUGGUUAUUUUCUUGUACAAAAUAAUGGGUUUUGAUGAUGCAUGAAAGGGCUGUUAAAUGAACCGAGCAGCUCGGGCUCGGCUCGAUGUUCGGCUCAUCUUUAGCUCAUUCGAGCUCGUUCGAAUUGCUAAACGAACCAAGCUUGAACAUAUUUUAAAGCUCGGGUGUAAUUUAAUCAAGCUCGAGCUCGGCUCGAGCAAGAUCGAAUGUAUGAAUUUCUUAUAUAAAUUAAUUAUAUAAUUAUUAUUUCAAUCUAUAUUCAAGAGAUUUUUGUAAAAUUAAUUAAGUAUCGAGUAUAAAAUUGUGAAUAUAAUGAAUUUAUCAAGUAAAAUGAUUAUUUUUAAUUUUUAAAUAUUUUUUUUAAUUAAAAUUAUCAAAAUUUGAAACUUAUUUGGUUUCAUCCAAAGCUUGAAUUAAACUCAAGCUCGUUCAAUUAAAACUCGGCUCGAGUUCGCUACUAUUGAGGCUCGACUCGAGCUUGGCUCAAAUUUAUAUGAACCAAGCUUGAACAUGUAAAGCUCGAGCUCGUUCGGCUCGUUUAACAGCCCUAGGGCCAUCAACCCCGACCAGCACGCAUGACUCAUCCAGCCAUCCACCGAUUAAUAUUUUAUAUGCUUGCCUAUUUUAUUUUCUUUUUGUAAUAACAGAGGUAAACAGAACUGUUUCCUUCACUUGCAGAAAAUACUAAUAAGGUCCAAGUAGGAAGCAGACACUUGCAAGUAAACCCAGCUAUAAAUAAGGUUAUUGAGCAAUUGCAUUAUCAGCUUUUAAUGAAUGGAAUUUUAGUUCUUUUAAAUAGUUGUCCGGUGAGAAACCCAUGUCUUUGGGACGAACAUUCCAUUAUGAAGAAAGUAGUCAUGCAAAGAAAUUGACAUUGAUAACAUGCAACUAUUUAAAAGAUAUGAUAUCUUUAGCAGGUAAGCAGUUAGCUAGAACAUGCAAAUUUCUGCAUGCUAGAUGUUAUUUACAUUUUGAGGUAUCUCAAAAAGCUCCUGGUCGUAGGCUUGUAGUGUGAUAACUAGGAGAUUUACGUUUCAAUAUUAUAACUUUGUUGGUUCUAAUCUUGUCAGUUGUUACUUUGUGUAGGAGUGUAGGACGAAAGAGUGAGUCGCAGCCUAAGGUAGUGUUGAGGUUGCCAUCGCGGCAUGGCCAAUACUAUUAGUCUAUUACAGAUAUAUUCAGGGUUCAGUUCCCCGUCGUGAGUUUUGGAUUUCUUUUCCAUCAAAUAAAGGUGCUGUGUUACAGUGAUCAAUUUGACAUUUACGUUGCUAGUAAUUUGGUAGUUCCUAUUCUGAUGAAAAAGGUGAAGUCUGAAUCAAACACGCUGAUAUCUUCACCAAAACCUCGACUGGAUGUGUUUUUCCUUUGUCUUCCAACCUAAGCAUACUUGAUCUACACACUAGUUUGCAGAGGGUGUCAUACAUUUUAAUUUUUUAAUAUUGUAUAAGUUGGACCACUAGAUGCUUGCUCACAAGACUUUUUUAUUACAGUAAUAACAAACAAGCAGAAGAGAGUUUUCAGUUUGCCCUCUGACAUUUAUUCUUUUCUUAUUUCUUUUCUUGUUUUUGAUAACCUCUGACAUUUGUUCGUUGCCCUCUCGGACCAAGUCACUGACUAAGAUAUGUGCACGGUGUACAUGAAAUUAAGCAAACAAAGCAUACAUGUGAUAGAAGACAUAUCUUUAUGGCCAACUUAAUAGAAAAAUAGCAAACGAAUGGAAGACAGGAAGAUAGUUUAAUUCAUGAACUAUAUGUUUUAAGGAAUAAACAACAAACACACACACUCAAAUCCAGUUCAUUUACGAAAAACAAUCACCGAAGUGAAAAAACCACAAUAUCCACAACUCUUUAAUUACUGGAAAUUCAGGUGCAUUAAUUCAUUACAAAGGUAGUAUUACACACAAACCUCCAUAGCCUCAGCAAGACCAAAUUGCACUUGAAAACCAAAAGUAUUGUUUUCUGAAUACAUGUCAGGAUUAACCUACGAGGAAACAAAGCCAUGUUAAAUAGACACAAGAUAUAUAGAAUCCCAUUCUAAAAAAUCACCCAAAUUUCUAAUAAGCCCAUUUUUUAAUGAAGCUAAAGUCUGAAAGUAUAACACAACAAAAAUCAAUUGAAGUUAAACCACUUUUCUAAUAAAAGCUGGACAAAGAAACAAUUUAAUAAAGAGAGUUCAUAUUAUGUGAAUUGGCAGAAACAAACAAUCCACAAUAGAAUAACAAUUCAAGUUCACAAAGCCUUAAACAAUAAGAAAAGAAAAUCACAAAGAAAACCCUAAAAAUAAAAUAUUUCACACAGAGAAUCACACCUAAACCCUAAACCCUUAUUUAUAGAGUAGGGUUUCUUGCAGCCCAAUAAUCUUUAACAAGAAAGGAAAUUAAGCAUCAUUAAAACAUUACCGCAUGGCGCCAGGGGAGACUGGGAUAAAAGUAAACAAGAUUGAAAUAUUUUGGUCGUAGGUGUUCAUGACUUUUUCGGCUUGAUAAGGAUAUUAUUCAAUUAAUAAGAAAAAGUAGGGUGAGAUAACCGACUGAUAAUUACAUAGCAGAUCCAAGUGACAAAUCAACCAAAACAACAGCAGACUCAAUACAAUAAUUCCCCCCAUCUACAAACAUAUGCCCAAAUGGGCAAUGGAAUGCCUCUACACUCUCCCAAAAUAAUGAAAUCUUUGAAAAUAAUUCAACAUAAGAUAAAAUUUAUAUUGGAGAUUCUGGUUCAUACCACAGCUUUUUCCAUGACCAGUGUUUCGAUGGAAGAAAAAAUCUGAAACAAUUUUGCCAGGCCAUCAAUGUAAAGGUCGCUACGCCAUUACUUCACCUUCAAAUACAUUAAGUUUGGAAAAGAUUUCGGCAGUUGUUUCAACAUGUUUGGUAAUCCUCCAAAACCCUGACAAUCACAAGAGAUACCAUAACUUCAAAACCACACUUCUAACCAAUAUUCCUGCUUAAUUAGAUCAUGAAAAAUAAUCACAUUUAUGGAAUUUUGCAUAAAUAUACAACGACUUGCCUUCUGUUACAAGAUGGAGCCUUGCCAAGACCUAGGCAAAAAGAGCUUAUGCUCAACCAGACAAAAACCUAAAUAUUUUCCAUCUCUUUCUCAUGCACUCAAGGUUGCUAGGCGAGUAGGCGGUACCAAAUUAAUUUAUAUACUAAAUUAAGUAAAACAGUUGAAUAGACUUUACAAUUAGCACACAAUUUACUGAGUAUGCAAUGUGGAAAGAAAAAGUUACAUUCGUCCAUCUCUCAUUAGUCAAAGAGAAAGAACUCCAGAUAAGAUAACUUUCUUUAACCUAAAGGCUAAAGUCCAGAAAAUAGAUUCCACUGGUUAUCAAGGAUGGUCUUUCUCCUAUUUUUCUGCCUUUACUGUUAUUCUAUCUCUUUUGUGUGUUGAAAUCUUAAUUGCUUGACAUAAAGAGGAAAAGGUCUGUCUUAUACAAUCACAUAGUCUGGAUGGAGAUUAGGGUACAAGAACCUGACUCUGCUUACAGAGAUUUUCAUUAUGUAUACACUAUACACACUAAAGAAAACCUCGAUACUGAAUCUACAAACAAGUUUCUCUCUUGUCCACCAAGCAGAAUCUCAAUUUUCAAUCUGCAAACAGAAGGAUAUAUUUGCAUACCUUUUUGUUUUUUAAUCCUCUUUAAGUUAUUAGAAGUUAUUGGAUUAUAAGCUACCUUCUUAAUUGGUACUUAAAGACUUCUUCAUGAUGAAGUCAUUCAACUCCUACUUCCCAAACAACCUCUGAGAGUUAUAAAAAAUCCUAGAAAUUUCUUACUUAAUCUUCUCUUAAAAAAAAGCCUAGCUCACUAUUAAAUUCUCAAAAAUACAUUGCCCCUAACAGAAAAUAAAUUUAAAAGAAUUCAAAGAAAAUAAAUUUGAAUCAAUAGGUAGGGAGCACGAGAGCAGAUUUUGAGAGGUAAGUAAUUCAUUUCAGUAGGUAGUUUACUGCUUAAUAAAACAAUAAACACUUCAUUUUCAAUACAACAAAGGAAAUAGGAUCCCUAAAAACACAACAUAGAGCAUGUUUUUCUGAUUUGAUAAAAACGAUUGUGACACACACAUAUAAUAAAAUAAAAAACCAAUGGCUCUUUAACAUUCAUAUUAAAAAAUGUUGUGGCAUCUGAUGUUAUAUGGCCGAUAAGAUUGUCUGGGUCAUUGCCAGGAUCAUGAACCUAAACGAACAGUUACUACAAUGCCAUAAACAUCCCUGUACUUGGAUUCUACAAGGAAAUAUAAUUUCUUUAUGAUCACCACCUUGGUUAUCACACCAACAUUUCCAUGACAUGCUUAAUGGCCACAACAUAAGCUGAACUAGAUUGUCAUUGAUGAUGUAUAAAGCAAGUCAUACUAGUUGACCUCACACAAAGUUCAGAUUAGUUACAAAACGUGAAUUCUCAAAAGAAUGGAACAUAACCAUACCUGAAUACCUUCUAGUGAGAACGUUAGUGAUUUUGCAUGAAUAAGUCCUCUCAGAAUGUUCUUCAAACAUGUACCACGCACUUCUUUAAUUUCCUCACGGCAUAAACUAUCCGUGUCAAUGUGGGCAGUUUCUAAGGAAGAAAGGUUCUCCAAAUCGUAGUUUUUAUACAUGAAACCUAAGCACCCCAGAAACUUGAGAUUGGGGGCACAUAUCUUAAUCUCACAAGAACCAAUAUCACUAUGCUCAGAACCCAUUUCACAUUUCACCAUCAAGUACUUAAGUCGAGGAGAUGAUAUUAAAAGCUUGUUGAGACAAUCAUGAAAGCAGUUUUCCAAAAUCAGAUUUUCCAAAACUGGGCCACACCAAGAUCCUUCCAUUUCUUCCGAAAGUCUGACAAAUUUCAAUUCCAAAGUCUUUAGAUUGGUAGACAAAGAAAACGAUGAUACUGGUGGCAUAAACAACUCUUCAAGAUGAAGAUGUUCAACAUUUCGCCGGACAGCAGAGUUCACCCAUGCAUGUAUCCGGUAAGUAACAGUAUCAUAAGAUGGACACAUUAGAUGAAACUUGUUUAUAUCAUUGCCAUCACGUGGAAGCAGGACUCUGUUGACAAAAUUCUGAAAUUCGUCUUCCUUCAAUAUACCUAAUUCAUCUCGCCAAAACUUAUCAUUAAUGCUUAUAGUUGGAACGGAAACCCAAAAUUUUCUCCAUUUUGUUGAAAGAACACAAGUCUGAACUGCUUGCUUCAUGUCAAGGAAUGAGAAGAUGUGAUGGAUUAUAUCUUCGGGCAUUGAACUAAUCCUAUCUACAUAAUGCUUCUCGCUCUCUUCUUUUUUUAUCUCUUCCUUUCUUAUCACUGGUUGUUGUUGCUUCUCUUUCUUUUUCUCGCUUACAUUUUUUUUCAGCAGAAAUCCCUUCUUCAUUAUGAAUCCACACAAAAACUAGCACCCUGCAAACACAUCAUGAGAUCAGAAAUUUGACUAUAAAGCGAAUGAAAUAAAUUGAUCAUCAGUUUUAUUGCUAAAUUGUUUUUUUUUCUGAUUGCUCAACAUUUGGUAGCAAAUCCAACCCCAAGCCCAAGGUUCAAACCUCAGGAGGGGGCGACAAUACAUAUAGGUUUCAUAAAAAUGGUUUGGUACUAUGUAGGGGCAUAUUGCUACAUUUGUUGGUACUAAAAAGGACUAUCAUCGGUGGUUCAACGAGGCAAUGGCUUCAUAUUAGGUUAAAUUAAAAUGGGUUGGUUACUUAAC